rnacentral:lncRNA from 1 species
GAAACUGUUACAAUGGCCAUGAUAGAGUCGGAUGAUUUCCCAGGUAAAACGUAAUUGUUCUUCCAACAUCUAAGGAGAAAAAUUAGAUAUUAAACUGACUUUAGAAGGAAGAUUCAGUAAUGCUACAGAUAAAUGUAAGGAACUAUUGUUAGGAAUUAGGAAGCGUGAAAGUAAAACAGGCAUAUAUGUACGACAGAUUAAGUCAGGACACUGUAAGAAUAAGGGGCCUUUCAGAAGUUUAAAAGUACACAAACUAUCCAAAUUUGUAUUAUUAUGGCAGGAUAGAUACAUGCAAGCUUAGUAAUUAUUGCAGAGUUAAUACAAACUAUAGAAAAAGAAUGUUUGCACAAGAAACAUGUUACAGUUAAAGGAAGAACCCAGCCUGAAGCCGAGUACUCAUAUACAUAACAUUACAUUCAACCACUUAAACAACUAAGUUAAAGGAACACUACACUAUAGGGUCAGGAACACAAACAUGUAUUCAUUAUCCUAUAGUGUUAAACCAACAUUUAGGUGGCUUGCUCCCCCUUACCCCUUUUAGAAGAUGUUAAAAAUCACCUUAUUUCCAGCACUGCUUGGUACGCCGGCGCUGGCUCCACCCUUGUUCCACCUCCUUGGUGACAUCAUCAUAAUUUAUAAUUUUUAGCCAAUCCAAUGCUUUCCCAUAGGUAAAACAUUGGAUUGGCUGAAAUCGGCAAGGAGGCAGGAUGGGGCAGGGCCAAACACCGUUUUGGCCUAUCAGCCCUUCUUCAGAGAGAUGCAUAGAUUUAAUGAAACGUGGUGACGCUGAAUGGCCAUGCUGCCUACUGUGCAUCAAUACCCCAGGAAGCACCUGCAGUGGGCAUCUGAGGAGUGGCCACUGGAGGAUUCCCCAGGGGGCAAUGCAAACACUGCCUUUUCUCUGAAGGUAAUGAUUAUACUCGCCAGAACAAAUACAUUAAGCUGUAGUUGUUCUGGUGACUAUAGUGUCCCUUUAAAUGCCUAUAUUCACUACUAUAACAAAGUGUAGAAUGUUAAGACAUGUUCAACUAUAAUUUUCCUCGUUUGUAUUUGAACUCGAAAUUCUUAGAGGAACACUAUAAUGUUGGGAAUGCAAAGCUGUAUUCUUAACACUAUUGGAACCCUUUACCUCUUCCCCCUCCCCCUCUCCCUUCCCCACAUUAAGCUUUCCCCAUAGGAAAGUUUCGACUUAAUGUUUUCCUGUGGGGUUUUUCAACAUGUUGGACUUCCUCAUACAAUUUCAGAUUCAGAGGUGCAAAGUGCUACCAGGCAGGGGCGCCACUGAUUGGCUGGGAACGGACAGAUGACACUCUCAGCAAAUCGUUGACUUCCUAUUCACAAAAAUGCCUUGAGAAAGGUAAAACUGCCUGAGGGGGGAGUGGACAUCGCUGCUAGGGUGGAUAUCACUGCUGGAGGCAACUUAGGGCUUAAUCCAUUUGAGAAUGGUUUAACCCAUGAGGUAGGAAUGACUGUGGGGGCCUCCUGACACCAUAACAACUUAAUUUAGAUUAUGUUGUUUUGGUGCCUGGAGUGUCCCUUUAAUUUUAUAAUGAGCACUGAUUGUUUUUUCUUUUGCUGUAGUGCUUUAAUGAAAAAUGGGGAGCAGCUGCACCAUGAGUCCUUAAUUGAAAAAAAAAAAAAAAUCCUAUUAUGCUAAGCUCUUCAUUUAUUCCCUCAGCAGCAAAGAAACAAUGAGAGAGAAAAAACACAUGGAAGGGUUAACAAAAUUUGCUUAGAAACACAUUAAUCAAUCACAACAAAAUAUUAAACUCUUUUUUUUAGUAGUUAUUUACUUUUUGUUUUUGUACUUGCUACACCUUUCCCUUGUUUUCUCACCUUGUGAUGCUGAGGUCCACAGAGAAUUGGCGGGAACUGCGGCUCUUGCUGGUGCGCCACUUUUCCUCCUAUCCCCUGGGUUCCCCUGGCUACCAUGGCUUUUCCUAGCUGUUUGGUGGUCUGCGUAGGCCGACGCGCAGGUGCAUUUAUGUGUGUGAAUAUGAUUUUAGUUUGCGCAGGUGUGAGAUUGGUGGGAACUGUGGCUCUUGCUGGUGCGCCGCAUUUCCUCCUAUCCUCUGAGUUCCCUUGGCUUUUGCGUUUUUUCCUAGUUGUUUAGUAGACUGCUCAAGUCACUGCGCAGGCGCAUGUAGGUGUGCGGUGACCAUUAUAGUUUGCUCAGGUGUGCAUGCGGUGUCGCACUCGUGACGACCAUAAUUUUGGUGGUAGAGUUUUGAUGCGGUUUCUGACUCUUGCGAGACUCAGAAUACGCAUGAAAUGACUGGUGGGGAAGGCGGCCUCCUUCCUCUUCACAAUUUCUUUUCAUGUAGCAGAAAAAGCCGCCCCCAAACGCCCAGGGAAAAUGUCUUGUUAGCCUAGUGGCUAACUAACAAUCUGGUAGGUCGGGCGGCGUAGGCAAGGGAGCACUUUCUGCCAGCAGCCCCACUAGACCCCAGGGAGAGGGAGAACCUCCCCUCCUCCCCCCAGCAUUCCCAAAGGUAAGGAAGCUGGGGGGUACAAAACCAGGAUACACCACUGGGAUGGACAUUGAUAAUGCCCUAUUAGCUUUUUCCAAAUGCGUCGUCAGAGGUUGCAGGUGUAAAAAAGGAAUAUUAGCAACAGCAGGAAUUAUAUUAAUUUGGGGGGAGGGGGGAACUGUUUUUGUCAGAGACUGUCCUUCAGUGUGGGGGAAGAACAGGGCUCUCAGAUUUUCUGAACUGCGUCAGCGGAGGUAAAAGGUAUAGUCACACUGCGAGGUUCAGCCAGGCAGGGCAAAACCAAACCACUACAAUGAAAAAAAUUAAAAACAUUACAACAACCAGCAACACUACCACAUUUUAGAAUUCCUUUUUUUUUCUACAAAGUAGUAAAACAAAAAUGUGUUACUCUCAGCACAAGCAGGAUUCACAUAUGUGUUUGUGCAGUAAAUUGGCACUUACUGUAUAUUACAGAAGAAGGAAGCUUGCAAUUUGCAAAACACAGGGAGUAGCACAAAAGCACAUUGCAAACCAAAUAAUCUAUCCGAAUGCUACUAACAAUGGUGGAGGCAGCUGUGGCAGAGGUGUUAGCAGUCCUCGUGGUCAAAAAAGAGGUGUUAAGACUCUAAAAGGCCAUGGCAUGACUGCUAAAGUUAGAUUGGAGAACAAGUCCUCUACCCUCCCUCAUUUUUGGAUUAGCAUUGAUGAUGGUGGGUUUGUUUGUAUUAUUAUUAUAAAAAUAUAUUGAGAUAUGAAUGUGUGUUGUGUAAAGCAAUACAACGUUCUUAAGCCCAGAUGGAUAUUUGUGCUGACAAAUGAGUUGAUGCUUCAUGGAUUUAUGAGUAACCCUAACAUUGGGAAUGUUUUUGAUUUUAAGAAAAGCUACACUGAAACAUAUUAACAUAGAAUGUGACAACAGAUAAGAACCAUUCGGCCCAUCUAGUCUGCCCAAUUUUCUAAAUACUUUCAUCAGUGGCCUUAUCUUAAAUCUAGGAUAGCGUUAUGCCUAUCCCACGCAUGCUUAAACUCCCUCACUGUGUUAACCUCUACCACUUCAGCUGGAAGGCUAUUCCAUGCAUCCACUACCCUCUCAGUAAAGUAAUACUUCCUGAUAUUAUUUUUAAACCCUUGCCCCUCUAAUUUAAUACUAUGUCCUCUUGUUGUUGUAGUUUUUACUUCUUUUAAAUAUAGUCUCCUCCUUAACGGUGUUGAUUCACUUUAUAUAUUUAAAUGUUUCUAUCAUAUCCCCCCAUCUCGUCUUUCCUCCAAGCUAUACAUGUUAAGAUCCUUUAACCUUUCCUGGUAAGUUUUAUCCUGCAAUCAAUGAACCAGUUGAGUAGCCCUUCUCUGAACCCUCUCUAAGGUAUCAAUAUCCUACUGAAGAUACGGUCUCCAGUACUGCAUGCAGGGGCGUUUUAGCCGCGAGGCAAACAAGGCAUUUGCCUUGGGCAGCAUUUUUCAGGGGGCGGCAAAAAACGCCGCCCCCCAAAUGCCCAGGCAAAUGCUUUGUUAGCCUCGCGGCUAACUGACCGGCUGGGCUGGCGGGCGGCACUGGGCAGGCGGCUGGCGAGGGAGCUCUUCCCCUGAGCGGUGCGCUCAGCUCCCUCCCCUUUGCGGCGCGCGAGGGAGCUGAGCAGACCGCUCAGGGGAAGAGCUCCUUCGCCAGCCGCCUGCCUAGCUCAGCCGGCAUCCACUGGACCACCAGGGAGGUAAUGAACCCCUCCCCCCAGCACUCCCAAAGGUAAGGGGGGGGGGGCUAAAUAAAAAAAAAUAAAAAAAAUGUGUUACUGUGAGUGAGUGAGUGUGUGUCUGUUAAUGUGUGUGUGUUUUGUUAGUGUGUGUGUGUCUGACUGUGUCUGUUAGUGUGUAUGUGUGUGUGUGUCUGACUGUGUGUCAGUGAGUGUGUGUUUGCCUGUGAGUGUGUGUGUGUCUGUUAAUGUGUGUGUGUUUGUUAGUGUGUGUGUGUGUGUCUGCUAGUGAGUGAGUGUGUCUGUUUGUGUGUGUCUGACUAUGUUUGUCUGUUAGUGUGUCAGUGAGUGUGUGUGUAUCUGACUGUGUGAGUGUGUUUGCCUGGGAGUGUGUGUGUUAGUGAGUGUGUGUCAGUUAGUGAGUGUGAGUGUGUCUGUUAGUGUGUGUGUGUUUCUGUUAGCGAGUGUAUGCGUAUCUGUCAGCGAAUGUGUGUGUGUGUAUUUAGAAGGCGGGGGGGGUUGGUGCAGGGGGGGUUGGCGCGGGGGGAGGGGAGGGGCGCCUGCGUUUUGUCCUGCCUAGGGCAGCACAAAACCAGGAUACACCACUGACUGCGUGCAAUACUCCAAGUGAGGUCUCACCAGUGUUCUGUACAAUGGCAUGAGCACUUCCCUCUUUCUAUUGCUAAUACCUCUCCCUAUAAAACCAAGCAUUCUGCUAGCAUUUCCUGCUGCUCUAUUACAUUGUCUGCCAACCUUUAAGUCAUCAGAAAUAAUCACCCCUAAAUCACUUUCCUCAGAUGUUGCGGUUAGGACUCUAUCAAAUAUUCUGUACUCUGUCCUUGGGUUUUUACGUCCAAGGUGCAUUAUCUUGCACUUAUCCACAUUAAAUGUCAGUUGCCAGAACUCUGACCAUUUUUCUAGUUUACCUAAAUCAUUUGACAUUUGGCUUAUCCCUCCUGGAACAUCAACCCUGUUACAUAUCUUACUAUCAUCAGCAAAAAGACAUACCUUACCAUCAAGUCCUUCUGCAAUAUCACUAUUAAAAAUAUUAAAUAAAAUGGGUCCAAGUCCCUGAGGUACCCCACUGGUGACAAGACCAUGCUUCGAAUAUACUCCAUUGACUACAACCUUCUGUUGCCUGUCACUCAGCCACUGCCUUACCCAUUCAACAACACUGGAAUCCAAACUUAAAGAUUGCAGUUUAUUGAGAAGCAUUCAAUGGGAAACAGUGUCAAAAGCUCUCCUAAAAAUCUAAGUAAGCAAUGUCUACUGCACCACCCUGAUGUAUUAUUUUAAUUACCCGAUCAAAAAAAUUAAUAGGAAGUAAACCCAUGUUGUCUCUGAUCUUCAAAUUCAUGUGAUUUAAGAUGUUCAACAAUCCUAUCCUUCAACAAUCCUAACAUGGUUUCCAUUACUUUCCCCUCUAUUGAAGUAAGACUUACUGGCCUGUAGUUGCCCGACUCCUCCCUACCACCUUUCUUGUGAAUGUGAAUAUUCACUAACUUCCAUUCUUGUAGGACUACUCCCGUUAACAAUGAUUAGUUUAAUAAAUCUGUUAAUGGUUUAGCUAGUACACCACUAAGCUCUUUUAAUAACUUUGGGUGUUUUACAUCAGGUCCCAUUGACUUAUUUGUCUUUACUUUUGACAGUUGAAAUAGUACCUCCUCCUCUGUAAACUCACAUGUAACAAGUGACUCAUUUGUCCCUUUUCCUAAGUGAGGCACCUUUCCUUCAUUUUAAUCUGUAAAUACUGAACAAAAAUAUUCAUUGAUGCAGUCAAUGAAACCUUUAUCCUCUUCUACAUACCUUCCUUCUUUUGGUUUUAAUCUAACUAAUCCAUAUUUUACUUUCCUUUUCUCAUUUAUGUAUCUAAAAAACGUUUUGUCCCCUUUUUCACUGACUGUGAAUACAGCAGACUUGCACAGCCCAUGCUGUACAACCAGUUAACAAACAAAAGCUGUCAAAUCCUAAGUCAUUGAAACUUCAAUCAAAUUUCAAUCAAACGUGAAAGUCAAUCAAACUUGGUCUAAGUGGUACUGACUAGCACAGUAGUGAUCUAAACACAUCUUCACACUAAGAUCAAUUAAACUAUUAUUAAACAGGAUAAAUCUAUCUCCAAAUCAAAGUCUGUGCAAGUGGCACAGUGUCACUGGCAGGAGCUAGGUACAGCAGUAACCUAACCAUCAGUCUCACACUAGGCUGAACGACUAUGUGAAUUUGACAUAUUUUCUAUGCCACAGGAAUACCAAGAAAAGACAAGAGCUAAAGAAAAAGAGAAAGAGAAAAUAUUUUAGAAAAUACAGCAGUAGCAGAAAUUUCAGUUAAGUGCCGUUAAAUCUAAAGUGAACUAUGGACUGAGAGAAACACACUUCUAGUUUUCCAAAUAUCAUUUAGAGAUUAGAUAUGUGCAAUUUGUUUUGUUCCGAAUGUACAUUCGGGCGAAUUUUGUGCAAUUCGGACAUUCAGAUGCUUCCGAAUGUCCGUAGUUCAAAUUGCCGAAGUGCCGAAUUGACGAAGUGCCGAAUGGCCAAAGUCCCGAAUUGACGAAGGUCUGAAUUGCCGAAGGUCUGUAGUGUGGUGUAGGGGUAGGUUUAGGGUUUAUGGUUAGUGGUUAGGGGUUAGGUCUUGAAUUGCCGAAGUGCAAAAUUGCCGAAUUGCCGACGUGACAAAUGGAACUGAAGGCCAUUGAAUUGCCGAAGCAGACAAAUUUUAUUCCUUACCCGAAUUUCCGAACCGAACUGAACUUUUUGCACAUGCACAUCCCUAUUAGAGAUUGUCUAAGUGUGACAACUGCCCCUGGAGAGUAAUUAGCUGGUGCCCUGCCUCUUAAACAACAUAGUCUGGGACAAGAUUAGUGGGCUGGGGAAACAUCACAUUUCCCAGAGGGUUGCCAUUGGUGGAGGUGUUUGUGUCAAACAGUUUUUGUCAAAAACUAGUGCUCACCUAGUACUUAACAACUGCAGUUGGCUAAUGCAGAAGUGAACUUUUACAUUAGCUGUCCAACUUUGCUCCCUGUAACUCUCAGCCUACAGCUGCACCAUAACCAAUACAAAAUGCUGCAAUGGAUAUGGUCUUUAGUCGCAAUCCCUAAUUUAUGCAAUAGAAACAAAAAAUAAUAACAAAAUAUUAUGUUCCUGGUACACUUCCAAAACACUGAUGUUACAGUUACUGUUUGUUUUUUAGUGGAUGAUUGAGAAAUCCUGAAUGUAAUACUCACCCACUCCUAAAUACUAUUUUGAAGCAAACUAUAAGUUCCAGAAAAUGGUGCUGUUUUUCCAUGACUGUGUUCUGACUUCUGUGUUCUAUAAUUAAUUAUAAUAGCUUCCAAAUGGUCCUUAUGUUUCUGUUUAUGGUUAAAAAAAAAAAAAAAAACAGAUACAGACUGAUGGGAGAUGGACAUUGUCCUCACUGACAUGGUUACAGGAUAUGUUGUUUUUUUCAAGUGAAUUAUUUUUAUUUAUAAGCUUUAAACUGUACACGGGUGCUAAGCAUGCAGUGAGAGAGGCCAGCAUGGACCUCAGCAAGGAAUGUGUAUUUCAGCUAAAAAGAGUAAAGGAUAAAAAAAUGUUUCUCCGGAAGAUAAUGCAUUUUUCAGGCAUCAAACUGGAGAGGUGUUGGCCAAUGGCUUCACCAGAACAUCUUCCCAAGUUCCCUGAACCUAAUAUAAUGAUUUCCCAUUACAGAAGAUCAAGGGAUGCUUACUCCACUGAUCCUAACUAUAUUAAAAAGUCACCCCAGUUCAUGGUUAUAGACUUUCCCCAGUAGAGGGGCUGUGUAGGCGAGCUUUACUUGGUAGAUGAAAGCUGGACCACUGGUUGCUGGGGUUUUCCUGAUGAUGUUUAUAUCAUGGAGCAUUGUGUUCCUUUCACUCACAUUGUCCACUAAGAGGCAAACUGGCAGAUAGAUAAAUGAGCUGAACGAUAAAUGUGCACAGGGGAUGCCAAGGCUUACCCUAAUGAUGGUAAAAGCAAGAAAAAGUGAGGGGAUGGGUCUGCGCCAAUGUGUACAAUGAGUAUUGAGUCCAAUAGGAUCUAUGUUAUCGUGUCCAAAGUUCUACUUUUGGUGGUAUCCAGAAGGUAUCGAUGUCGUGAAGAGUAAUCCAAAUAUGUAAAAAUAGAAGAGAUCUUACUUACAAUUUGCAGAGCUUAAUCCAGCUCUGGUGUGGAUAGUUUACAGCGGUAUUAUCCCCGCUUACAGGAUGUACGGCAGGUGUCCUCUUCUUUGUAGUAACAGGUUUUGUAGUAACAUAAUAUGCAGGACUUUAAAAAUAAUAAAAGAAGUAUAUAGUAUAAAAUGUAUAUAAAACGUUUAUAAAAUAGCCAGGUAUCAAUGGAUAAAGCCUUAUAUUGGCGAAACGCAUUUGGAUAUUUUUUUACUGUUUUAUAUAUUGUUAAAAAAAAAGAUUUUUGUCAUUUUUACGUUUAAACCAUCAUCUUUUUUGUUACCUGGCUAUUUUAUAAACGUUUUAUAUACAUUUUAUACUAUAUACUUCUUUUAUUAUUUUUUAAGUCCUGCAUAUUAUACUCCAAGAAUCCUAGGUGGGGAUCAUACCACCUACGCUGUCACAUAGAGCAGUUAGUCUGCCCUAUACAUUGUGAGUAUAUUUUAUUAUUUUAUUUUAUCAUUAAGAUUUUAUUGAGAGCACUAUCGUUAUUUUACCUUCUCUCCGAGCUCCUGAUAUUCCGGUCAAGAUCACUCAUCAUAUAUCCUAUAAGCGGGGAUGAUACCGCUGUACGCCUAACCAAUUAGAACUAGUCAAAGCUCUACCGAAUGUGAGUGUAUCUAUUAUAUUUUAUAUAUUUUUAUAUACGUGUAGAACAUACUGCACCAUUACUGUUUUUAUUUUUUCCUAACUUUGGCCACCUGUUACUACAAAGAAGAGGACACCUGCCGUAUAUCCUGUAAGCGGGGAUAAUACCGCUGUAAGCUAUCCACACCAGAGCUGGAUUAAGCACUGCAAAUUGUAAGUAAGAUGUCUUCUAUUUUUACAUAUUUGGAUUACUCUUCACGACAUCGAUACCUUCUGGAUACCACCAAAAGUAGAACUUUGGACACGAUAACAUAGAUCCUAUUGGACUCAAUACUCAUUGUACACAUUGGCGCAGACCCAUCCCCUCACUUUUUCUUGCUUUUACCAUUGAUUUCCAAGGACACUAGAGGGAGUCCUUGUUUGGGACUGCUGCCUUCCCGAUUAGCGCUGACUCUACCCCUUGUUCUGUUACCCUAAUGAUGGAACGAAUUGUCCUCCAAGUGGUCUGUUUAAGUCUUGAUGUGCAUGUUUGUGGUUGGGUUAGCUUAUUAUGAUUUUCAAGAAAGACAUCAUGAAUAUAUCUGCAAAUGUCUAGUUAUUAAAAUAUGUAUGCAUUAUCUCAUUUUUAAAUCAGUAUCAGUAAUGUUAUGAAGGUAAUUUUCUAUGGUGUACACCAAGCUUGUCAUACUCAAUGGCUAACACGGGCCAAAUAAACAUGGUUUAAGUUCAUGAGGGCUGCAAAAAAACAAAAACGUAAGUUUUCAUAGAAACGUAGGUUUACUUAGAAAAGUACAGUAUAAAAAAAGUUGCCUAACUGACACUGAACGUCCUCACGAUCGUAGGGUUUCAAAGUAAACAAAAGAGCAAAUUUGUGUAUCUAAUUCAUGAUGCAAAAUGUGGGCAUCACCAAAAUUAAAGAUAGCCAACAAAUAGCCUACUAUAGAGGCCAGAUAAAACCACUAAACACAAAAAUAAUAAAAAUUUAUUAAGCAAAACAAAUAUGUGACCCAAACGUGCUACCAAAUAAACACCAAAAAAUCUAAAAUGGUUGCUGGACAGAUCUAUAGAGAAAGAUAUAAAUUGUCUAGAUAGGAUAAAAAAGAUAUAUAGUUGCAGAUCAAAAUGUGAGAGCCAUUUCUGUCAGUCGUGGCUGGUAAUGUGCCAGACUAAAGAAGCAGAGUGCCAAUCCAAUGGAUCGGUGAAUAAAUUAAGUCUGGUACUUUAAAUCUCCAUAAUAUAAUGAUGGACCAUAUACAUCCUAUCCAAAAUUAUAUAUAUAUAUGAAUCAGUAUGGAGAAUAAUUAUCCAUGUCUGACGAGCUAGGUGUAGCGAAACGCGCGCGUCAGAGGACUGUGGUGUGCUGCACGUGUUGGAUCCUUAGUGCAGCACACAGACUGGCGACCGCGCUGUUCAUAUUCUAUAUUUAUUAUUUUCAUUUAGUUUUGUAGAUUUCACUUUCUUUUAGAUCUUGUUAUCUAUCGGAUAUCUGGGGGGGUUGGAGCUAGGUGCCCUCGAAGGCACGGGUCACAUACUUAUAGAGGGUAUCAUAUUGUUAAUAGCUCUCAAUACAUAUUUUGCGCUACCUAACAGAUACUUUGUAGCACCGUCUAUUGCAACCUUAUAUAUAUGUGUUUCUCUCCUCUAUCCCGUUCCUCCUAGAUGUCUCUAUGAUUGCUUUACUGUCAGUUUAGUUUACUUACGCUGUGGUGUAUUUACAUAUAUAUUCUGUUCACCCAGCUCACUAGCAGAAUAGACCUCAUAAUCGAUCUACUUAUCAUCAGAUAGAUUUUUUAUUGUGGUAUACUAUUUAUUACCAUGGAUAAUUAUUCUCCAUACUGAUUCAUAUAUAUAUAUAUAAUUUUGGAUAGGAUGUAUAUGGUCCAUCAUUAUAUUAUGGAGAUUUAAAGUACCAGACUUAAUUUAUUCACCGAUCCAUUGGAUUGGCACUCUGCUUCUUUAGUCUGGCACAUUACCAGCCACGACUGACAGAAAUGGCUCUCACAUUUUGAUCUGCAACUAUAUAUCUUUUUUAUCCUAUCUAGACAAUUUAUAUCUUUCUCUAUAGAUCUGUCCAGCAACCAUUUUAGAUUUUUUGGUGUUUAUUUGGUAGCACGUUUGGGUCACAUAUUUGUUUUGCUUAAUAAAUUUUUAUUAUUUUUGUGUUUAGUGGUUUUAUCUGGCCUCUAUAGUAGGCUAUUUGUUGGCUAUCUUUAAUUUUGGUGAUGCCCACAUUUUGCAUCAUGAAUUAGAUACACUUCAUUCUGUUCUCUCUAUUCUUUAUUUGGGGUUACCCCCCACUUAUCUAAAUAGGCUCAAUCUAUUCGCUGUUUUUUAAAAGAGCAAAUUUAUUUAGACGUGCAUUUGCAUAUAACCAUGUUUCAGUCCGACUAUCUUGACAUAUAAGUGUGGUAAUAGGACUGAAAUUGAGACUGUAUGCAUUUGCAUAGCUGUAAAAAAAAAAAAAAAAAUUACGUUAUCUUGUUGAUUUUGAAGUCCUAUGAGUGUGUUCUUCACUUUGGCUGAGAUCAUCAAACUUGAUGAUCUCAGCCAAUCCAAUACUUUCCCACAGGAAAGCAUUGCUAGGCUAUUGUGCAUGUGUGGCAAAAAGCUGCGCGGCCAGUCAGCAUCUCCAUGGGGAGCGUUCAGCACCUCCAUGCAGGCCCAAUCUAAUACACUGCACCCUGUCCUCAUUCUAAUACAUUUCCCCCAAAUCCAAUUCACUGCCCCACUCCAUCCACUCUUAUACACUGCCCCCUCCACACAAUCUAAUACACUGCCCCUUAGUCUAAUACGCGGCCCCCCCAUCCACUCUGAUUGAAUACACUGCACUCUCUCCCCCGAUUGAUUACACUGGCCCUCCUCCCAGGACUCUAAUACACUGCCCCCCUUUACCAAUAAUACACUGCCCACUCCUUCCCCCAAUGUAAUACACUGUCCCCUCCUUAACCCAAGUUAAUACUCUGCCCUUCCCCCAAUUUAACACACUGUCCCCCUAACCACCACUCUAAUACUGCCUCCCUCCCCAAAUUAAUACACUGCUCUUGCUCCAAUUUAACACAUUGCCUCUACUCCCACCACUCUAAUACACCACCCACUACCUCACCCAAUUUAAUACACUGCCUCCCUCAGUGGUGUAUGUUGGAUCUGUGCUGCUCUAGGCAUGACGAAACUUGGGCACCCCCUAAUUUAUAUUUACCACACCCCUUCCUGUCAUGCCACACCUCUUCCUGUUAAAGACACCCACUUUGGCUGACAGACACACUCUCAGAUACACUGACAUACACACACACACUGAUUUUACACAAUCUGACAGACACACACAAUCACUGACUCACUCACAGACACACACUGACAGACACUAACGCAAGCAUUUAGAAAAUUAGGCAGACUAGAUAGGCCGAAUUGCUGUUAUCUAUCGUCACAUUCUACGUUUCUAUGAAAAGAUAAAUCUAUUCUAUCUUCAGAUACAUUUCUUUAUGUCAUAAUGGUGAACUUAUGGCAUUCUGGCAUUCUGACACGUAAUGCGAGAGUACAUCAUGUAUUCUCAAUGGCUGACACAGGAAUUGUCCUAUUGCAUAAGCUGCUGCACCCCUUGGACAAUAUAGCUAAACAUUGAACCACAGAGUGUUAGAGCGAUGCAACUAGAGCCUUCAGUACACAAAAGCAAAAAUAGAUGCUUGCUUGGAAUACAGGCUCAAGGAAGCAGCAUGCCGCUACAAGAAAAAAACACAGUGACAAUAAAAGGUGUCAGGUUGUUGAACUUUGAUGUACUUCCAUGUUUCAUGAAUGCUCUGCCUGUACAACUGUCUUACAAAAAGUCUAACUUGUUACUUGAAACCCAAAAUGUUGUCCAUCUCUCAUUUGCUUAUGUAGCUUCAAUGGGCAUACAGACAAGGCCCCAAGGCCGAUGUCCUUAAAGCACCUCCCUCUGUGGCCAUGAACCCAGUGUCCCCAUAGGAAAUUUGGUCCUGCAUAGAGGAUGCAGAUGGAACUGAACACUAUUUCCAUCAAUGAGCACCUAUCAUCCAAUUCUCUGCAUACAAUACCAAAUUAUUAUUAUUAUUAUUAUUAUUAAUCCCACACCCACCAAACUCCAAAUUAAUUUGUCCAUUAUCUCUGUUACCUGCUCAGCAAUUCACCUCUGGUCCAGGAGUAGGUGAACAGGAGGGUUAAUUGUUCCAAGUAAUAUAACUUGUAGAUUCUUUUAUUGGAGAUUUAUGUAUAUUAACAAGAUUAGGAUUCAGCUAUAGUUAUUACAUUUGUAUUAUUGUGUGAGUGCAGAGUUUUAGUGUUCAUCACAAUAGUGAGGAAACAUGUCUUCCAUGUCUGAUGUUUAUAAAGUAUUCAAUAUUUAUACUCACCUAAAUGAUAUGUUAGAAUAGAUGCAGCCUUUUAAUAAAGUGAUCUUGGGGAGCCAUAUUCUGCUGAACCCCAGCUAAUUUACCUGGGACCAGAAGUAGUCAUGUAAUACCUCUUGACAUUUCAAAAGGUCAAGGAGAGACACUUUAAUUUUAGGGCUGAUAGUGUCUGAGGGAGGGGCUUUUAUGUUAUAUGUAAAAUAUUAGGUAAUUUACUAAUAAUUUAUGCAACUGAAAUGUAAUUUUGAACAAGAACAAUGUUUCUUAUCUACACAGACGGAUUACUAAAUACAUUUAUUGUAGUUUAAAGACAUAUUACUGUGAGUAUUUUUGCUGUGGAACUCUGUUAUACACUCAAACAUACCAACAAUAUAGGGCUCCUAGAAAACAGAGACAUAGGACAGAAAAGAGGGACAAAUUGAUUGUCCCCAAAAUAAGCACUGUCCUUCCAAAUAUAAGACACUUGGGAGAUAUGCAAAAUUAAUGCAUUUUUGAAAAAGGACACUGUACCUGAAAUGUACUCUAUUCCUCCAUUAAAGGGUGAGUAGCUCUAAUUAAGUACAUUUUUGGAAUGUGGUUAAUACUUUAUUUACUCUUAUACUGCUUACUGAUCGUUAUAACCACAUGAGGCAGCAUUGGUGUAAUUUUAUUAAAAUCCUAAUCCUUCAGAAAAGGUUUUACGUGCAAUUCUUGUGAGUAAUAAUUUUAAAUAUUCUUAUUCUACCUUAUGGUCAGGGCCGGUGCUUCCUAUAAAGUGACCUAGACAGGCGCCUAGGGCGCCACACUGCGCCCUGCGCCCUAAUCACUGGCCCUUCUAAAGCUGCAGCCACCUGAGCGCUCUAUAGAGAGCCUCAGGUGGCUGCAGCACUGCCUCUCUCUGCCUUUUCUCCUCCCCCUCCCCUCACCCCCUUCCCUUCCCUGUAUAGCGUGGCAGAGCUCCUCUCCGGUCCACGGUACAGGAACAUCCAUGUGCAAUUCUUGUCAGUACAACUGAGUAAAGGAAACAGAAGCUCCUGUACCGCGGACCGGAGAGGAGUUUGGCCACGCUACACAGGGAAGGGGAGGUGAUGAGAGCACAGGGAGGGAGGGGGGAGGUGAGGAGAACACAAGGAAGGGGAGGUGAGGAGAGCACAGGGAGGGGGAGGUGAGGAGAACAUGGGGGGAGGUGAGGAGAACACAGGGGAAGUGAGGAGAACACGGGGGGAGGUGAGGAGAACACAGGGAAGGGGAUAGGGAGAACACAGGGGGUGAGGAGAACACAGGAGGAGAAGUUGAGGAGAACGUGGGGGAGGGAGAGACCACUAAGGGAGGGAGGGGGUAGUGGAGAGACUACUAGGGGAGGGUGCGGGGAGAGCAGAGUCCACAAAGGGAGGCGGUGGUUAAGAGAACGUGGGGGGUAGAGUCCACUAAAGGAGAGGGGUGGUGAGGAGAACGUGGGAGGGAGGAGAACAUGGGGGGGAGACCACUAAAGGAGGAGGGUGAGAAGAGUCCACUAAGGGAGGGUGGGGGGAGAGCAGAGACCCCUAAGGGAGGGUGGGGGUGGAGAGACCACUAAUGGAAAGGGAGGGCAGAGGAGAGCAGAGACUACUAAGGGGAAGAUGAGAGACCACUAAUGGAAAGUCAAGGAGGUAAGUAGAGACCACUAAGGGACAGGGGAAGAGAAGAGAGACCACUAAGGGGCAGGGGAGACCUCUAAGGGAUGGAAGGGAGAGCUCUAUAGGACAGGGGGCAGGACAGGGAGCUCUUUCACACUACGCGCACAGACACACAAUGCAUCCCUAUACAUACACAGAAACACAAUACAUCCCUACACACAUACAAACACAACAUGCUUCCCUUACACACAGAGAAACACACAAUGCAACCAUUACACAUAAAGACAAUGCAUCCUUUGCACACAUACACAGAAACACACAAUGCAUCCCUUACACACACAUUCAAACACACACUGCUUCUCUUACACACACAGAGAGACACAAUGCAUCUCUUACAUACACUCAGUGCACCCCUUACAGACACACACACUACAUCCCUUACAUCCACAGAAACACACUCCCUUAUGCAUACAAGCACAGGUUCAUUCAAUGCAUCUCUUACACACAACCAGAAACACACAAUACAUCCUUAAUACACAAACACACAUUAGAUCCUCUACAAUAACACAUAACACAUCCCUUACACACUCCACUCCCUGUGAGCGAACUCAUGGGUGAAACAUGUAGGUGGAUUUAUGGGUGGGCCUAAUGAACAUACUCAUGGUCAGGCCCUGGGACCCAGACCUAGAGGUGUGUAAGGGGCCUUAAAAAAUGGAGCUGCUUCCCAUUCUCCCAGAACAUUGAAUUUUGUGACCACAGUUACAAACAGCCUCCGGAGGUCUACACCAGACCAGUGGAGCCAAACUGCAGCCAGAGCCCAUCACCAUCCUCAUCUGGUUGUAAGUACACAAUCUAGUAUAUUAUUAGUGACAGUAAUCUCUAAUUUACCUCACAUUAAAGGGACACUAUAGUCCCCAGAACCACUGCAGUUUAAUGAACUGGUUCUGGUGUCUAUAACCUAUCCCUGCAGGCGUUUUAAUAUUAACACACACUGUGUGUAGGACUGGCGUUAUUUCAUAUAGCAGAUCAUAUGGGUGGGGCAUUGUGAUGUCACAUGGGAGGCGAGGGGGCGGCAAAACAUUUUUUUGUCUAGGGCGGCAAAAAUCCUUGCACCAGCCCUGCUUAUGGUACAUAAGAAAUGAUUACGGCAAAGAUUAGAAGAUCGUGGCUAUAUUGCAUUAGAAACCAGAGCCAGAAAAAUUGAAGAUGAGGUUUAAAGACCCAUUUCCAAUUACAGUACUAUUUCAUUUUUCAGUGACUGUUUAAAUUAUUAAAAUGAAAGAGUUCAUGAUUCUUGUAUUAAAUGUGCAAAGAAGUGAAUCAUUGGCUCUAGAUGUGUUUUAUAUCACAGAAUAUGGUGGGCUAGUAGAAAUAUUGAAUGGUGUUACUAUAAAUAAAGCCAGAUGGUUUCCCUUUAGAACAAAAUGUACCAAGACAAGUUUUAUUUUGUUAAGGACUUUUAAGAACACAACUUGUACCAUAAAUAUGCAAAUAUCACUUAUAGAUAGGAUGAGAAAGUUCCAGGAGCUAUAGUAAAUCACAAUAGUAGCAAGAUUAAAAUAUCAAAUAAAAAAUGUGACUCAAGUUAAUGUUUCCAAAAAAUUAUAAUAAAUGAAAUAGUCCAAAUGUCUAAAAAGUAUUCACAUAAGAUUAUCACUUGUGAAAAGUCCAAUAAGAUGAAGAUUAGUCCACAGAAUGUAGCAUAUGCAUUAUAUUGGGCUGUGUACAUAGAUAAUGCACAGUAGUGUGGUUCCCAUGUCCGUAUAAUAUAAUUUACUGGAAAACAAUAAAUAUAAUAAAACUAAAAUAAAGAAAAAAAGAAAAUAAAGAAAAUGAAAGAGUAAUGCAGUACUAAAUCAGCUGUGUGCUAGUUAAUGAAGAUGAGAGAGAAGUACUUCUUUGAAAAUUCCAAACAACUUUAAUGAGUCAAUAAUUAAAAUCUAAAUAAGUCCAUUAACAAAUAGUAGACAAAUGGUCCCAACAGUAGCUCAGGAUAUUCUGCACAUUAGCUGCUAUCCUCACAAUGUGUGGUCCGCCGGUGAGGUAGCGUGUGUUCCACGCAGCGUUCCACCUGAAGCCUCACUCAAGGAUGUGCUUCCACCGAUGUCAGAAAUAUCUUCGAUACCUCUCCGUAUGUGAGUCGAAGUCAGCUUGUGCGCUAGAGUUACUGUGGUAACAUACAUCCAAUGAACACUGGACCUGUUUUUCAGUAUGCCUUACGCAUUUUGUGAGGAGAUAGCCUCACUUCAUCAGAGUCUGCGAUAGCUGGCGGAUAAGCUUGGGGAUACUUUUAUAUACACACACAUGUAAAUUGAUACAUUUAACCAGCUGUUACAAAUAUAAUUGUAUCAAGUAUAAUCCUAAUUCACAUAAUUCUACAUAACAUAAAUAGGACAGCAAGCUAAUUUAAAAUGCGGAUAUCUGUCAGGGUUCUUACCUGAUGUGGAGUCCGAUAUGCAGAGAUAUACCCUCACCCAAAUAAACACAGACCAAGGUGACCAGGUAAGAAUCCACCUGGUCUGUAAAUCUGUGCACGGGGGCUAUGCAGGGAUAUAACUCCAAGUUGCAGUACAAGCAAGGACAAGCAGAAGAGUAGUCGUGGAAAGCCGAAGUGAGAGGAUGCCAGAGGUCAGAGAAAACGAUGAGAAGAGCCAAGGUCAGCAGCCGGGAACAAACUGGAGAACACACGAUCUGGAUACGCAGGAACAGGAACCAAAAACGCAAACCAGAGUCAAUAAAUUGACAAAGUUCACAGGGCAUGGGAGUGCUUAUAUACCCAGCUAAUUAAUUAUCUGCUUCAGGUGGGCUAGAUAGACAGGAGCAAAAAAUAUACAAAUAGCGCUGGCACUCAGUCACGUAUUGGUGCAGGUAUUCGAGGUUUAGCCCAACCUCAUGACAUAUAUAACAAUUUAAACAUAAAUACCGCACUCAAAUGCAUUUACUAUGCACACUAAGACAAAAUUCAUAUAUAGGUAUGCAGGAAAAAUUCAUUUAUUAGUCACCAAUUCUGUGUAUUUAAUUGGAAAAAAAGGCUAUUAAAGAAAAUUGGUGAUCCUUUCUUCAAUUCAUAUAUCAUACACAUAGAAAAAAUUCUAAAAAAAGCUACUAUUUACAACCACUAGUGAUCCCGUCAUUAAUUCAUAUAUCAUACACAUAGCACAAGUUCAUGAUAUUUACUAAUACUAUUUACCGAUAUUUACAGUUCUAAUAUCCUAUACAUGCAGGGCUGAGUUUUCAUAGGUGGAUCCACCACCUGUUGUGAAAAUGGUAGGCCUUAGAAAAAAUCAGGAAAAAUAAAAAAGAAAAAGGAAAACAAUAUUACCAGCAAAUUGUAAAAAAAAACAAGAAAAAAGGAAAAAAGAGAAAAAAAGGAAAAAUGUAUAUAAGGCAGUCCAAUUGUAGAAAACAGUGCACUGAAAAAAAUUGUUUAAAUAGGUGGAUCUCACCACAAGUAGUAUCUUUGUAGGGAUGGACUGUAGUGAUGUCGAAGGUGGUCCUUGAUUGUAGAGGGGAUAAAUCAAUAAAGCAGUAGAGGAGAGUCCUCCUGUGUUCAUUGCUGGUAUUGUGGUUAAGUCCUCCUAUUAGAUGAGUCAGCUGAUAGGCAGUAAACGGGCAAUAGAUGAGUCAGCUGAUGGGCAGCAAACGAGCAGCACGCUCGGUACGUCCAUGUCCCUUCGAAGGCCCCUGCAAUCAUAGACAGGAGCAGCCACAUGUAAAGUUCAGCCCCCAGUGAAGUGUAGCCCAGAGGGAAGACAGCAGGACUAAGGCAGAAAAAGUCCAGAGUUCAAAUCCCCUGUUGGGCACCUCUGGGGCAACCACGUCUGGCUCUCUGGAUGUCUGUGACAAUAUCUUAGGAAGCACUAAUAAAUGUCUCAAGAAUGUUUUGGUGGCCUUCACUCAGGAAAGAUAUCAAAGACUUGAUGUUUUUGCAGUUUCCAAGGUUCCCCAUAAACUUCCAUGUGGGUUAUUACAACUAGAGAUGUCGCGAACUGCUCGCCGAACUGUUCGCGAACUGUCCGCCGGCGAACAAUAGCGUGUUCGCGUUGGGCGAACAUAUGCGAUUUCCGGUCCGCCCCCUAUUCGUCAUCAUUGAGUACACUUUGACCCGGAACCUCACAGUCAGCAGACACUUCCUGGGAGGGAGGGUCUGCUGCUGAUUGGCUGGAAUGUGUCUGCUGACUGUGAGGUUCCGGGUCAAAGUGUACUCAAUGAUGACGAAUAGGGGGCGGACCGGAAAUCGCAUAUGUUCGCCCAACGCGAAUACGCUAUUGUUCGCCGGCGGACAGUUCGUGAACAGUUCGGCGAGCAGUUCGCGACAUCUCUAAUUACAACCACUUCCUGACAACUGGCAGCUAAAAGAUUUAUUGCUCUAUGCUGCACUGUUGUCACACAGACGCUGUGAAAAGCUCUGUGUAAAGGAAUUUCAAGUUGAUGCUGUGUAAGGCAUUGCAUCACUAAAUUUAAAAGUGUUAUGUCAGAAAUCUUGUUGCAACUUGCAUCUAUGUUGAUAUAAAUGAUGCUAUAUAGCUGUCUGUAAACUGUUAAAUUAUUGCCAUAUUGUAUAAUUUUGUUAUACCUAAAUAUUCACUGAUUAGUGUCACGCAUGUUACAUAUUAUUAUUAUUAUUGUCACAAUAAAUUAUAUUUUUAUAAUUAGUUUGUGAUUAAUGUGUGAAAUAUAAAUCCUCUAAUAAACAAAUUCCAGGUUCUAGAAGAGUUAAAAAUAGUGGAUAGCUCUUAGCUUUAAAUUAAUCAAGGGGAACAGUGCUAAUAUAUACAUUUUUGAUAUAAUAAAAAUUAUUAAGAUAAAUAUCCAUACAACAGUUUUUCCUUUUUUUUUUUUUUUUAAGUUUGUUUAUCCCAUGUGCUGUGUGCUCAAAUAGUAUCGUAACAGUUGUAUAUCAGGAAUUAGUGAGUAUAAUAGGCUGGAAGUGACCAUCAUUUUAAUGCAUUAUAUAGAUAAUGCAUUUUAAACAUGCAAAAAAAAAAAAUUAAAUAAAAUAAAAGACUAAAAGACUUUCAGCGAUCCCAAUACUACUGCUGAUACACUGCAAGUAGAAACAUCAGAUCAGGGAAUCUCAAUCUGGUAUAUGUCAUUUUUAUUUUCCCAUAGUGCCCUGUCCGACAAAGGUCAUCAUAACAUGUGCAAUGAGCAAGCCUUAAUAAUGCCUAGACUGCAGAGUUAGGCAACCUUUGGCAACUCUAGAUGUUGUGGACUAUAUCUCCCCUGAUGCUUUGCCAGUAUUAUGGCUGUAAGAUCAUACUGGGAGAUGUAGUGCACAACAUGUGGAGUGCUGAAGGUUGCCUACCCUGGUCUAGAGUGUCCCUAUUACUAAAGAUUCUUCUUUCUUGCAAUCCUCUAAGGAGGAACAUACCAAAGAAGAACCUAUAGUGUAGAUUGGUGGCAUACCCAUCCAUGAAUACCUAUGCAUACUCAAGUGUAUAUAUUCUUUGACUACAACCCAUUAUAUCCAUAGACUGGGUGGUUCCCUCCUACAUAGCACCAGGAAAAGAACAGAGAUGGACCCUGUAUGUUUGAGGUGAUUAAACUUAACAGACUAACUAUAGAAGCACCAACCAGGACAUCCCACUAGAGCAAGCAUGUCAAACUCAAAGGCUAACAUGGGCCUAAUAAAUAUGGUUUAAGUUUAUGUGGGCCGCACAAAAAAAAACCCUUAAAUGAUCAUAGAACAACAUUGUUAUUUCAUGACUGAUGACCCCCAACAUAUAUUUAUAUAUAUAUAUAUAUAUAUAUAUAUUAUUUAAUAAUUAAAGCAUAUUUAUUUAUUAGUCCCUUUCAAUCUUCAUUAACGACUCUAAUAGAGUCUAAUAUAGCCUGGAUGAAGCCUUAUUGGGCCGUUGGGCUUGAAAGUGGUGGUGGGGACUGUUAACCCCCCUCACCCCUGGCACAUUUGCAAUCCACACAUCCGAUUUCUACAAAACCCUAGCACCCCCCUAUACUAAACCCCAGCACCCCCUCUACAAAAACCCCAACCCCUCUGUACAAAACCCCAACCCCACUGUACAAAACCUGUACACAACCUCAGCCCCCCAGUACAAAACUCCAUUCCCUGUUUUAAAAAAAAAAAAAAAGCAAUAUUAGCAUCCAGACUCAUACUUUACUCACCUUGUAUCUGGUAUCCUGCACCUAUACCCCCACUGGCACCGUUCGCAGCAUGUGACACAGCCAAAACUCCUUAAUGUCGGAACCUGUAGACGUCACAUCAGGACGUGACAGUGCGCACACCUGCGCGUCUCCGCCCGACUCCAUUCUUUCCUGGACUGCCUCCGCCUGCCUCCAUUCUCUCCUGGACUGCCUCCACCCGCCUCCAUUCUCUCCUGGUCCUCCUACCAGCCUCUGGACCACCUACGCCUGCUUCAAUUCAUCUCUGCCUGCUUUAUUUCAUUUCCGCCCACCUCCAGGUGACCGGAGAAAUUAAUAUCUUUGCUGGGCUGCAAAGAUAUUUAUUGUAAGCCACAUGCGGCCUGCGGGCCCCAAGUUUGACAUCAAUGCACUAGAGGAAGACGAACAAUCACCCACCUUAAGUAUAAGAUAUGACCUAUGGUAUUUUAUUUUAUCCUGUCUACAAAACUUCCUAUUAAAGCUGUGGUGUAACGAACCUGGGAUGUAAUUGUCCACAUAGGCAUUAUUAAAAAGUUAAUUAAAAUUAAAUGUAGAAAUCUCACAGAUCUUGAUUAUAAUUUGAAGACGUUGAGUAUGUGCUUAUUCCACAGAAAAAAAUGAAAACAUUUCUAAGUAGUCAGUAUUUCCAUAUCACAGAAUCUUCACUUCAUCUUUUAUAGGUUUCUCAAGGAAACGACUCAGAUUGCUUAUAUAAUGUAUUGUAACAGAUCCCCUAUACCCCGACUGAGUAAAUCUUUUGAAGAGUCCCCCUAUUCCCGCAGAGUAAGAGUUUGUUAUAGUUUUUGCAUCCCCAAACAUCAGCCGAGACUUGAUGAAGGGUAAAUCAACUGGUUUUAUAUAGGAAAAAGCACAGAUAUUAAUGGGCAGGAAAAGGGAUAUAUAAGUUAAGGCACACAGAGAGGAGUGGGGAAAGGUGGAAUGGAAGUUUUUUUGCCAGUAACUUACAGUCUUUUUGACACAGUUUGUUACAUGUAUGGAUUCCACAAAGGUUUUCAAAUCAAGCACACAAAAGUUCUCAUGACUGUAGGAAAGACUGAGGAUCAUUUACCAUUUCUUAAACUUUGCUCAAUAAGCCUACCAUGGUCUACAAAUCAUAGCCACAUGUUCAUUCUCACUGCUUUACACUCUGCAGUCUAGGUCUCUGCUACUCGAUUUACCAGGGAAGGCACUGUGCCCAGCAAGUUUUCCAUGUCUAUGAAUUUAUACUCACCUGUCCAUUCUUACUGCCCCCGAUAUUAUAGAGCCUUGCUCUUGACUGAUUUAUUUGCCUGAGGAACCACUGCUCUCAUGUGUCGUGUGCCCUAGCAAACCACAUCUUACAAUGCAUAGCACUAGAGUUACUUGGACCUCAUCUGCCAAAUUCAUGCAAAUUUGGUGUUAUAGUCUCAGAAAAACAGACUUUGCCUGACAAAUGCAUCGCACUUUGAGUGCUGUAUACAGCUUAUCUGUCAGUCUGGGCCCCAUUUCACAGAGGGGAGCACCAAGUAUAAAUCGAUCGAUUGGAUUUAACCAUGCUUACACCAAAACCUAACAUCAAUAAGGGGUUACUUAAUAGGACAAUAAUUCUGCAACAUUUGCUUAUUUUUAUUUUUAAACCGAUGGCAGGACUGUCAAACUUGACAAUUACUUGUUACUUUUUGAAGUAAUUUAUCCUCAAGUUUUAGAAAUAUACUUUAAUAACAUCUGGAAGGACAUCUUUGACGUAGAAUCAGUAUUUAAUAAGUUGAUGAUACACAUGUCUUUGCUGUUUGCUUAUGUACAAAUGUGCAAAUGCUAGCAUUAGUUAUGAUGCCUUUUCUAAAAACACACAUAAGUAAAACCCUUUUUUUUCUAUAAAAUAAGCAAUUUGUGGUUUCUAUCCAGUGGCUAUUCUGCAGUGAAUUGGACAGCAGUUUUUUAAAAUUCCACUGCAAAACCAUGACAUUUAGUUUAUAUAGGCACGAGCCCAGAUCUUUUUGGCAUGAGUCGAAAAGACGCAAACACUUUCCUAGGCAAAGUCAACAUAGAUAAUUGAGUUCAUUCUGGGUUCAAAUGACUAAAACCACAAAUUCUUAAAUAAAGCAAAACCAUUUUGCAAUCUCCAUCUAUUGCCAAACAUGUAGGAAAAGCUAAACAAUGUUUAGAAGCAAAUAAUGUUCUUUGUUUAAUGUUCUCUAAAGGACCUUUCUUAGAAUUCAAUACCUUGUAGUCGGUAGGUUUUACGAACAAGCCGUUACUAGUUAAAGUAGCUAUCACAAUCCUUAGAGAGUCGCUGCAGCUUCCCAACUGCAAAAUCUCAUCAUUAGCAACUCUGGAUAAGGAGCUGACAUUAGUAAUAACAAAUGGGAGCUGUAACAACUAGUCACCAACUGGUUUCAAAUUUUGUCACUAAAUUUUACUGGCUGUCACAAUCCCUCAAAUUCUAAAACUUGCAUCUGUCUAGUGGAAAGACACAAAAUGAGUUUAACAACAGCAAACUCCCCAAUACACAGAGAGAAUUAACUGACACACACACACACUCUCUCUCUAUUAAAAGAAUACUUCGGCUUUAGAAAGAAAUACAUUUAUUGAUAACGGGGGUGUAUUGUAAAGAAUUUUCAGAUUACUUGGCUCCCCUUUCCUAUAAAUUAAAGGGACACUACGCUACCCAAAUAUAACAUGUAUGCAUUUAAUUUUGAAUUUUUUUAUUGGAAUUAUAUCUAAAAGUAGCGAGCAAAAGCCGCCGAUCUUUUGUCUGCUGCCUUUGCAAGCCCUCCAUUUCUAAUCCCGCUCAGACUUUCUGUGGCUAUCCAAUUAAAGACUUACCAAUGCAGCUCAAUGAUAAGUCUUUGCAAGGCAGGUGGACUAGACAAUUGGCUCUCUUUUGAGUUUAGCUCCACAUAAAACAUUUUAGCAAGCUGAAGUGCUUAAGAGGUCCAGAGUUUCCCUCUAAAUAGGCUAUUAACCUAAACUCCCUCCGGGAGAGCGUCACUUUUGAUAGAGAAGCACUGGGGGUAGGGCAUAUCAAAUGCAUCUCUGUGAGAAACGUCACAUCCACUUUGAACAUGUGCUCAAAGUAUGAGUAAAAGGCUGUCUGAUUAACUUUACAUUACAAAAGAAUCAUGGGUGACCAGUAAUAAUAUGCUAUCCAGUUUAGUCAAGUAUAUGGCCUACUGACUGGGGCCCAGGAGAUGACUAGUCGAAAGAAGUGAGACUAGCACAUCAGAGUGCUGUGAUUGGUUGGCUUCCAAGUCCCAGCACUCCCAAAGAGCAUUCAAAGCACAGAAGGAAGUCUUUUCUUGCCUUGAAUGCUUAGUUUGUGUAGAGAACUCGAUGGGCUCACAUUUUGUUGUACCCCACUGUUAUUGCAAAUCAGCCCUUUUUUUUUAAAGUUUAUAAUAAUAUAACACAGUUCAAGUUGUUUGAAACUCAUAUCAAGUGCUAAACCAGAAAAAAUAAAAAUUCUCUUUUCAGUAAGCUGUGUGUACUGGAUACACUAAGUGCCUGUAAAAAAAAUAAAAAAUAACAAUUAGCUCAAAAUAUAUAUAAAGUGCAAAUCAGUGCAAUUAUAAAUGUGUGUAUUACGUGUCACUAUUAGUAAAAAACCUACAUAUAGUGCCAGUCUUACCUUAUCACUUACCUUAUCAGAUGUAACUUACGUUAAAAGUUUUUAUCUUCUGUUCUGCAAAUUGAACUUUAAUUACAUACAGGAGGCUCCUACAGGGCCUAUCAAGCUAUUAACAGAGCAGGAGAUAAAAAAUUCUAAAUUAAACAGAACUUGCCAUAAAAGAAGUGUAAACAUUAGAUGACUCUUUACAGGAAGUGUUUAGGAAGGCAAUGCAGGGAGUUGUGACUAGGGCUGCAUAAACAAAGUGAUUUAACUCCUAAAUGGCAGACAAAUGAGCAGUGAGACUACAGGAUCAUGAUCUAUACACCAAAACUGCUUUAUUAAACUAAUGUUGUUUUGUUAACUAUAGUGUACCUGAUUCAGCUGCAUUUUGCAUCUAUAUAACAUUUAGUGAAUAUAUGUCUUUAGAAUGUUUAGAUGAUAUGUAUUGCAUUGUUAGUUCCUUGCCACACUGACACAUUUGCUAAGUUAUUUUAAGCUUUGCUGAAAAAAAAAAAAAAAUCCAAGAAAAGUUCGGAAACUACAUUCUGUACCCUUGAUGGACACAUAUUGUAUCCUAAGAAUCUUCAGGUAUAUUUUUACAUUGACACUUAUCUGCUGAUUCAGUAGUCUGAAUACUAUCAUUCUCAGCCUGCCUGCAUGGCAUUUUAAUUAUGUAGGCACAUUUGUUACACUAGACAUAGCUUGUCAUAUACACGAUGGGUUCUUGUGUUUAUUGUUUUCUGUGGAUGAUGUCCAAUAAUAACUUUCCCAUAGCAUUAAUAUACAGGCAGCCUAGCUAUAUCACAACAGUAAUUUGUAUCACUGCCGCACUCAUAUAGUAAUCACCAUAGUUAUUGGCUGGAACUCAAUCAGCAAGUAACGACUCCCAAACUCGUUGAGUACACCCACGGACAGUCUAUGGUCGGGCGCUAAUUUUAACAGGUUCACAUGGGGUAUGUAUUUUGACCACGGUAUAAAUGCAUUUUGUAUUAAAUGGCAUUGCCUUGUCCUUGGAGUGCUAUCGGUUUUUUUUUUCCUAACACUGUGUAGUUUGUCGAUUAGCACCAGGCACAGCCGUAAUAUAAUUCUGGAGUGCAGACACUUUGUUGAAAAUUUUAUAUAUCUAUAUUAUUCAAGGAGAGGCGCACUCAAGGAUUUGUAGAAAAUAUUCUUGGUUUUUGUUCAAGUCGAAACAAAAUGUUGCUUUUUCAGUCUUCAAACAGAGACUUUUUUCAUAUAUAAUCCAAAGAAGAGAGGACUUUCCAAUGCAACAGUAAUUUAUUCAGACUAACAUCACAGCAUUGUCAAUGUUUUAAUUCUCUUUUAGACUUUUCUCAAGGUCUUGAGACCGAGCAUCUCUUGGGCCCGGUUAUUAUUAAAAACCAAAGGAAAAAUGUUACUUGUGCACUAUCCCAGAUCUUUAUACACAUUUAAAUAACAGGAGGGUUUUUUUUAUCACUCCAAUGGCCAUUUAAGUUUAAACUCACAUGCCACGUCAAGGCAAAACCUCUUAGGUGAGUCCUACACUAACAAUUCAUCUUCCUGUCUUCAGCUAACAGGUACAAAUCUCAGACAGAGAGGGGUGUUUUUAUAAACUCCUACACACUUAUUAAACCUUAACUGCCAACACAUGAGGUGGGUGGCAGCAUGUAACAUGGCUGUUUAAUACAAAAGCAAUUAUAAACACACAAAUUUAAGCCCUGCUCUCAAAAUCCCACUGUACCUGGGCCGCAGCAAUGAGUAUAGUACACAUCAGAAGGGCGAGAUUGGGAUCGAAAUGGAGCAUUGAAAAAAAAUUCUAUACAAGCCCAAUAAAGCGUCAUGACAGAAUAGUGUGCAGAUAUAGCGCCGAAAAAAUAACUUAAAAUUUUAAACUAUUAUUCUAAUGUGAAAGAACGCACUCAUGGGGCAUCAAAAGAAACAAAAGACUGGAUUUAUUUUAAGCAAAUGUGCAUUUGCAUAUAAUCAAUGUUUCAGUCCAACUAAUUGACAUAAUAAAAAAGGUUUGGUAUUGGGACUGAAAUGGUGAAUGUAUGCUGUUGCACAGCUUUAAAAAAAAUAAUGAUGUUUAUUUGUUUAUUUUAAAGUCCUACGAGUGUGCUUUCACUUUGUCUGAGAUCAUCAAACUUGAUCUCAGCCAAUCCAAUGCUUUCCCAUAAGAAAAUGCGUGGCAAAACACUGCUCUGCACUAAUAUAUUAAUAAUUGAUUCCAUGCAACUCAAUAGGGAGCAUUCGGCGUCUCAAUGCAAAGCGUGGAAACGCUGAACAUAGGUGCUCCACACUGCACAUCAUCCCCAACAAUACAAUAAAUACCAAAGAACAAAGUUACUUGCACACUAUUCCAAAUCCUUAUCCAUAUGUAAAUAACUGGAGGUUUUUAGUAUCACUCCAAUCGCCACUCAAGUGUCAGCUCACCUGCCACGUGAAGGCAAAAUCUGUUAAGUGAGUCACUGAGUCACUAACAAUUUACCUUGGUGUCUUCAGCUUCAGGUAAAAAUCUCUAAUGAGACAAAGAAGGGUAUUUUUCUAAACCCCUACAUCAUAGAUGUCAAACUUUCGUCCCACAAUGAAUAUCUUUGCGGCCCGGCAAAGAUAUUCAUCCCUCCGGUCACCUGGAGCCAGGUGGAGAUGAAUUGAAGCAGGGGGAGGCAGUCCAGAGGCUGGCAGGUGGUCCAGGAGAGAAUGGAGGCGUCCCAGGAGAGAAUGGAGGCAGUCCAGGAGAGAAUGGAGGUGGGCGGAGGCACACAGAGCUGAGCAACGUCACGUCCUGAUGUGACAUCAACAGGCUCCGCCUUCAAAAAGUUUCGGCUGUGUCACAUGCAGCAGACGGCGCCAGUAGAGGUAUAGACGCAGGACACCAGAUACACAAGGUGAGUGAAGUAUGUGUCUGAAUGCUAAUAUUGUUUUGUUUUUUAAAACAGGGAAUGGAGUUUUGUACAGGGGGCUGGGGUUUUGUACAAUGGGUGCUGGGGUUUUGUACAGGGUGGUUGGGGUUUUGUACAGGGGGUGCUGGGGUUUUGUACAGUGGGUGCUGGGGUUUUGUACAGGGCGGUUGGGGUUUUGUACAGGGGGUGCUGGGGUUUUGUACAGGGUGGUUGGGGUUUUGUACAGGGGGUGCUGGGGUUUUGUACAGGGUGGUUGGGUUUUUGUACAGUGGGUGCUGGGGUUUCAGGGGGGCUUUUUGUACAGGGGGUGCUGGGUUUUGUACAGGGUGCUGGGGUUUUGUACAGGGUGGUUGGGGUUUUGUACAGGGUGGUUGGGGUUUUGUACAGGGGGUGGUGGGGUUUUGUACAGGGCGCUGGGGUUUUGUACAGGGCGCUGGGGUUUUGUACAGGGGGGCUGGGAUUUUGUACAGGGGGGCUGGGAUUUUGCACAAGGGGGCUGGGUUUUCUUUGCAAGGCGGUUGUUUGUUUUUACAGGGCGGUUGGGGUUUUGUACAGGGCGGUUGGGGUUUUGUACAGGGGGUGCUGGGGUUUUGUACAGGGGGGCUGGGGUUUUGUAGAAAUUGGAUGGGCGGGCAGCAGAUUGUAAAUGUGCCCAAUAAAAGUCAAUAAAGGCUCUAUUAGACUCCCUUGAAAGGGACUAAUAAAUAAAUAUGCUUUAAUUAUUGAAUGAGAUAUAUAUAUAUAUAUAUAUAUAUAUAUAUAUAAGUUGGGGGUCAGCAGUCCUGGCACAACAAUGUUGUUCUAUGAAAAUUUAAGGUUUUUUUUGUGCGGCCCACAUAAACUUAAACCUUGUUUAUUUAGCCCAUGUUAGCCUUUGAGUUUGACAUGCUUGCCCUACAUACUUAUUAACCCUUAAUAGGGAAUACAUAGGGUAGAUGACAGCGUUGUGACAUGGCUGUAUUGUACAAAAGCAAAUACAAACUCACAAAAUUAAGCCCUGUGUUCAACCUCCCACAACUCCUGGGCUGCAGCAAUGACUAUAGUAAUUAUUAUUACUCUUCACCUUGGUGCUCAUGGGGUCAAGGAUUUGGUAGGGGAUACUCAUUAGGCUCCUGUCUGGUAAUAUUGAAGUCCUGGUGGACAAAAUUUCUCUCUUCUUUUUUUAUGAAUAAUUAAAACUUUGCCCUGUUGUAGGUGCUAUGGCAAUUUCUUAUUAUAUGCAGUUUUCUUUGUUUUUUUUUUUGUUUUUUUUAAAUUUUUGCAAUGGAAAACACUAUGUGAUAAUAGAUAUUAGUUGCGGUAGAAGUUGCCAGUGAGUCAAAGGCAGCUCACAGCAUAUAUUUAAUGAGCAAGCAAUGUUUUAGUUUGAGUACCAUCUGACGUACACAUUCAAACCUCAAGAUCAAAGUGUAAAUUCCGUGCACAGUUAAGACGUUCUUAAAACAAGGGAAAUAUAAAUGUCUGAUUCCAGUUAAAAUGCUGGGAUUUUAUUAGAUGUAUCUCCAUGCAAGAGAAAAUAAUGCACUUUUUCUAAAAACAGAUCAGUGAGAGAACAGAUGGCUUGUGUUUAUUCUUCAAAAUUUUAACCCCUUCCUAAUCCCAGGGCUGGCGCAACCGUUAGGCGAACUAGGCAUUCACCUAGGGUGCCAGCCUGCCAGCCUGCCAACCUGCUGGGGGCGCCCACCGGGAUGAUUCCUGGUGGGCUGCCUGCCCCUGUAUGGGGCCGCAGCACUGGGCAAGCAGCUCUUGAGCCACCCUCAACGCCCGGCCGAUCCUCAAGGUGCCCGAAGGUGGGGAAGCCGAGAAGAGCCCUGUCACAGGGAGGCCAGUAGGUGGCCUUCUGCCCACCUCAGGGUGCCCCCUAAGCUGUGCUAGCUAAGGCAGAACAGGCAGCUUCUUACCCUGAUGGCAGGUGCCUGCUCUGCCAACAAAUGCCGGUGACCUGAGGAGAGGGGGAUGGAGAAGGCAGGGGACGAGGGAGGCUAUUCUUGCAGCUUCCCAUUCCUCCCUCUGUGAUGCAGGGAGCCGAAAUAUGACGUCAUUCCAGCCCUGGCAUACUAAAAAGCGCGUUGGAGGAGUGAGGAGCUGCCCCACACUGGAUCCCAGGGAGGUAGGGAGGUUGGAUGGGCCUCAAAAAAUAAAAUUGUGUGAGUUGUGUGUGAGUGUUUGACUGUGAGUGUGUGUCUCUGUCAGUGAGUGUCUGUCUGUGUGCGUGUCUGUCAGAGAGUUAGUGUAUGUAUGUCAGUGAGUGUCUGCCUGUAUGUUUGUGUGUGUGUGUGUCUCUCAGUGAGUGUGUGAGUGUUUGACUGUCAGUGUGUGUGUGUGUUUGUGUGUGUGUGUCAGUGAGUGUCUGUCUUUGUGUGUGUGUGUGUGUGUGUGUGUGCGUGUCUGUCACUGAGUGAGUGUAUGUAUGUCAGUGAGUGUCUGUCAGUGUGUGUGUGUGUGUGUAUGUGUGUGUGUCUGUUAGUGAGUGAGUGAAUGUCUGUCUGUCAGUGAGUGUCUAUGUGUGUCUGUCAGUGAGUGAGUGUAUGUCUGUCAGUGAGUGAGUGUAUGUCUGUCAGUAAGUGUGUGUGUGUGUGUGUGUGUGUGUGUAGGGGCAGACUGAUCACUCGGGCAGAUCGGUCAUGGAUCGAGGGCCCGAGACAGCCAGGGGCCCGGUCACACAGCCAUGCUCGAGCUGGAGAGAUCAGAGAUCUCUCCAACUGGAAAGGCAAAUUUAAAAAAAAUAUCUAAUCUCAACAGGUUGUGGGGCCCCUGAUGGAGCAUACCUAUUACUCUGUACUUUACCCCCCUCUUCCCUCUCUCAAAAUGAGACCUGGCAGCAUUACCUGCUUUCUGCCAGGUCUCCUUGCUGUCCUGUGCGGCACUCUGUGUGAUGAAGAGAUCACUGACAUCACUUCCUGUACUCUCCUCACACACAGAGCCUUCACAGCCAGGAAGGGGAAGGAGCAGCAGCCUGCCACAGGAAGCAGGACAAAGGUAGGAAAUUAAAAGAGGAAUACUGGGAGACAUCACAGGGAGCAGGAGAGGGAGGAAGAAUAAAGGGGAAUUUUACAACAUGACAGGAGGCGAGUAUUUUCCAUAAACUCUCUUUACUAACUCCAUAGCAGCAAAGAAAAAACUGUUGAAAUAAAGAACCAAUCAGAACGUAGUCAGAGUGUAUAUAAGUCUAAGCAUAUCCAUAUCACUUCCUCUUUCUUUGCUGCUCCAUCACAAGUCAGGUCAGAGUACUGAUUCCUUAACUGUUCAUUAUUACAUUGUAUUAUUGUCUUCUGUUAGACUUUAUUGUGUUUAGUUUAUAUUUCCUGGGGGUGGCAGGGGAUCCCUUAGUUAUUGUAUUACUAUUGGGCUGUUAACUGUUGGAGGAGCUAUCCCCUCUCCCCUCAGACUUAUUCUGAGGUGGCAUCGUUUCUCCCUUCCCCCCAUCCUUCUGGUGGCUACGUUCACCACUCUCACCUACCUUUCCCGUGCUGUUCGCACUGUAUUCUGUGCGAACAGAGCGGGCUGUCAACUUUGUUCGUGCAUUUCUGCAUGAAUGGACGCACAACCCUGCAUUCAUCUUCUUCCGCCUUCUCCAGCCUGUUCGCACUAUAAUUGUGCGAACAGAGUGGCCACUGACUGUUUCGUGCCUCUCCGCAUGAACGGGCCGGCAAACAGGCUUACCCGUUUGUCUAAAUUUGCAUGAAUGGUCCAUCUGCACGAACGGUCAAUUCCACUGUAGGUUUUCUUUUCGUGGACUCUUCAACACUCUGGGCGUUUGGCAGUUUGUUCACCAAGACGAACGGCCGUUUGUUAACUUUCUGCCGAAUGCUUCAAUCAGUCCCUGUCUCCUCACUUUACCAGCGAACGCCUUUUGGGUAAUUCCAUGAGUGCUGCCUAACGGGAUCUGUUGAAGCAGUUCCGAUCUCCUGGGUGAGCCCCAGUGUUACAGACUCUGCUUUCCACGCCAUUGGACGACAAGCAUUAAACAGCCUAUCAAAGUCCCUCCCACACAGUCCCCUCACCUCUCAUACCUGUGCCUGUUAGUGCCCGAAUUAUGGAAGACACACAAAACCCAAUUGUACUUCAGGCCAUGAUCAACACAGCGGUGGCUGCGUCCUUGGAGAAAGCUAUGGCAAAGGUAUUGCCAAUGGCCUCUGAGACUAACAAGCCUAUUUGCAAACAUUCCCACACCAGAGAGGACUCAGAUGAGAGACAAUGCCCGGUAAAAUGCCACUGGAAGGGCGAGGGGUCCAAGAAGGUUGCCAGCAAAGGCAAAGCACCGCUGAAGUGCGGUAAGCGCCCUGUGACCACGGUCCCCACAUAUACUUGGGAGAUUUGCUCGGAUGAGGACAAGGAUAGGCCCCACUCCCUCCCCAUCCUGGACGAGUGGCAGGCAGAGGUCUCAGACUUCGAUGAAAGCGAUUGGGGCUUCAACGCCUACGUCAAGGAGACCUUCCUGGGUGAACCCCAGUGUAAAGGGGAUGUGGAGUCGUCUGCUACAUCCGCUACACAAGAAAAGGAGAUAUUUCUGGACGCCAUGGGUCAGAGAAUGUUUGACCCUAGGAACAUAAGGCACCCCCGCUCCAGGGAAUGGGCCCCACCUGACCAUCUCCUGAGGUUCAUGCACUUUUGGAUCCGCAAACUCCUGGAGAAACACAUCCACACAUGGAUGAGGGUGGAGUGCCCCAGACUAUCCCUGGCAGAUCACGCCAGAGUUUGACCAACUCAUGCUGGCCUUUAUGGAAUGAGGGGGUCGCGACCCGUGCAUAGGGGUCGAGACAAGCUUUAAAGGGGCACAAGAUAAGCUCCUGGAUGCAGUGGGGCCGCUGGUCUGUGUGAUGUACCUGACGGAUGACGCUUACGCCAUAGACUCAUUUACUGCGGACAUGGUGCGUGACUGGGCACAUGAUAUCCGAGAAUGGACCCAGAGGGGUUUCAGUGCUGCGUAGCACUCUUCCGCAUAGACCACAAACUGGCCGAUCUGGGGGUAAAAGAAUUGGGCCCACAGGCACAGGGUAAGCUUUUUGGUGAAGCCUUUAUGAAAGAGCUUAACAAGCAUGUUGAUGUGUUCACCUCUCUGAAUAAGGCCCGACCAUCCAUGUGUAAGGUCUUCAGAAGUAACCCUUCAAGGGGUGUUUUUUCCAGGGCUGGUCGGCACGGGGCAAUGCCACCAGCCGAUUCUGGCCAUAUCAAGCCCCCGCAUGGGACACUCACAGCAGUUUUACCCACAGCAAACCUACCAGGACACAGGCUCUAGGCAACACUAUCCCUAUUGCCAAAGGGGCACAGACAGAGGAUGUGGCGGACGUGCCCGCGCAAGAUUCCCCACAGGUAAGAGACCAACACUUAUAAAUGUCUCAACUAGCCAUGACUGCUGUCCGUGUUUCUCUUUUUUCCCUAGAAUUGGGCAAAACUAUCCACAGAUGCUUGGGUGUUACAGACGGUCAACGGGUACCACAUCGAACUACAGACAUUCCCUGUACAGAGGCACCCUCCUCUUCCUUAUGCUUCCCUGCCUCAUAGAAUUGGAGCUCUGUGAACUACACCCGUGUGCGAGCGAGGUGGCUUCUUCAACAACAUGUUUCUCAUUCGCAAGAAAACCAGGGAUUUCAGACCGGUGAUAAACUGAACUGAAUGCCCACGUUACCUAGUGCCACUUCAAGAUGGAAGGCAUACACUUACUAAGGGACCUCCUCCAAAAAGGAGACUGGUUUAAGUGUCUAGACCUCAAGGGCGCAUACCUGUCCAUUCAUGAAGGCAGCCGUCCCUUUCUGCAGAACAAGCGAACUGGCCUUACAACAUACCGACUAUACGGUACAAUUGUUGGAGUCCUUGGGUUUCAUCAUCAACAGGGCCAAGUCCACAAUGACUCCCAUGCGGAAAAUUUAAUUCCUGGACUUCGAGAUAGACUCCAGGUCUUGCACACUCCACCUCCCGUCUGCCAAAGUGACGGCCAUCAGGAAAGAGAUCUGCAGAGUACUCAAACUCGACUCCAUCCCACUCCUACAACUGGCUCUGAUCGUUGGCCUACUCUCCUUAUCCAUACAAGCCAUAUUUCCAAGCCCCAUGCACUACCAUGCCAUGCAACGGUUGAAAGCCUGCUUCCUUUGAUGGAAUCCCACAUACAACUAACCAGUCCCGCUGAUGGACGAAGUGCGCCAAGAACUCGAAUGGUGGCUCAACUGCAUGAAAGCAUGGAAUGGUCGUGCCAUCUUCGGCAACCAUCCGAACUUUGUGCUGGAAUUGGACGUGAGCAAACUGGGAUGGGGCGCCACGGAUGAGGAAGCAUCCACGGGAGGAACAUGGACAACCCAGGAACUCUCGAUGCAUAUCAACUGUUGGGAACUACUAGCAGGGUCAUUUGAUAUACGCAGCCUAGCAAAAGGAUGAUCCAAUUGUUGUAUUUUUCUACAGAUGGACAACAUUUCUGCGGUAUGAUACAUCAAUCAUUUGGGAGGGACUCGUUCACAAACACUGGUGAAUUUGACUAAGGAAAUCUUCGACUACUGCCUCCCACGCAACAUCCCGAUAAGGGCAGAACACCUACCAGGGGAGUCGAACCUUACCGUAGAUUGGUACUCUCAACACUGGAGAGACACCAGCGACUGGCAAUUGAACCCGCAGAUAUUCGGCUACCUGAACGAAUGGAAAGGGCCAUUCCUACUGGAUCUGUUUGCCUCACGCAACAACCAUCAACUGUCACAGUUUUACAGCUGGCUUCCAGAUCCGGAGUGCAUGCCGGUUGACGCUUUCACCCAACACAAGGUACUUGAUUGCAAGAGUUCUCCACCACAUCCGGAGAUGGGUAGUGAAGUUGACCAUUCUGACGCCCCUCUGGCCGAGCCAACCCUGGUUCCCAGACUUCCGAGGAUCCGAUUCUUCUGCCGGACGACUCCACCCUGCUCAGGGAUCCAGUAGGGAAUCCACAUCCUAUGCUUCUGGAUGGACGCCUGUCCUUGGUAGCGUGGACUCUUUCAGGGGAGCCAACGACUUAUUUACAAAGACUAAAGAUCUACUGUGAGACUCCUGGGCCCCUGGAACGCGAAAGAGCUACUUAUCUGCAUGGCGAUCUUGGACCAGUUGGUGCGUGGGACAGGACCUGGAUCAAUUUACAGCUCCUGUUUCCGAUAUCAGAAAUCUUUGGCAAUCUUUGAGGAAGGUAAGUCAUAUCGCAACAUCAACGUCAUUAGGUCCACUAUAUUGGCAGCCCAUAUACCGUCCCAAGGAAGUGCGGUCGAGCAGGAUCCUCUGAUCUGUCAACUACUAUGGGGCAUCAAACUGAGACGACCCCCAGCACCUAAAUACCAACAUCUAUGGGAUGUGGACGUUCUACUCCGGUUCCUGAGGGGGUGGCCCCCUAACGAACUACUAUCCUUAAGACAAUUGACGGCUAAGUUCACCUUCCUAUUGUGCCUGCUUUCAUUUCAUCUCAUCUCGGACGUGCGGGCAUUCGAUAAAGACGCCUUUACUAUCAACCUGGAAGGAGUCACAUUUCAAAUCUCACGGUGGUCUUCUAUCUGUUCUUCACAUCGGACCCCCAACGUUGUAUGGUCAAGGCUUUGAGGGCAUAUGUGGCGGCAACAGAGACGUUACGUCCACCGACAGCCCGACAGCUAUUGGUGUCAUAUGUUAACCCUCACGGUCCGGUUUCAGUCCCCAUACUGUCGAGAUGGAUUAGAUGGCCCCUGUCCCUAGCCGGUAUAGAACCAUCUUUUGGGGCGCACUCCGUAUUAGGGGCGGUGGCAUCAUCGGCUUUUAUGGCAGGCGCAUCUCUGUCGGACAUACUACAAGUGGUGGACUGGACCCGCGAAUCGACAUUUUGGACAUUCUAUUUCCUUCUGUCGUGUAACGCUGCGUUCUCUCUUCUACCUAAGCGUUAAAAUUGCUAAAUAUGAAGCCUCCUGUCAUGUUGUAAAUUUGAAGAUUAUGCUAGCGCAGUGUACUAAUAAUCUUAAUUUUGAUAAUGACAGGAGGCAAGUAUUUCUCCCCCCCUUUCGACUUGAUGUUCCCACCCUAGACUGAGGCAAGUUAAAAUUAAUGGGUACUAGUCUACAUUUGGAUUAAAUCUAUGUACUUGUAUGAACUUUGGUACGAUUGCAGUUGUUUAUAACAAUGUGUAUUGAUGCUAUAUCAUAACAUCUUAUGGUUAGUUAAAUGAAUUAAUUAUAACGGUUUCUAUAUAAUCAUAGACAUAAUUUUCAUACGGUCGGUUCCGUAUCACUGAAACUAGUCUUUUUUUUCUUUCAGUUUAACAAGUCAUCUGAAUCGCUGGGAGGAAUCAAUUCCCUUAUCGUUUUCCAAAUUGGAUCGGACAUGUUAUUCGUUGCAUUAGGGACUUGGGAUGUCGCAUUUGUCAAGAGGAAGUGAUAUGGAUAUGCUUAGCCUUAUAUACACUCUGACUACGUUCUGAUUGGUUCUUUAUUUCAACUGGUUUUUCUUUGCUGCUAUGGAGUUAGUAAAGGGAGUUUAUGCAAAAUACUCACCUCCUGUCGUUAUUAAAAUUAAGAUUAUUAGUACAUUGCGCUAGCAUAAUCUUCAAUUCUGGGAGAGAUCACAGGGAGCAGGAGAGAAGGAGGAAGAAUAAAGGGGAAUACUGGGAGAGAUCACAAGGAGCAGGAGAGAGGUAGGAAAAAUAAAGGGGAAGAUUAAUUAAUUUAAAAAUUAAUGAAAGCAUUAGAAAAAUAGUGCCAAAUAUGAGUGCUGUGGGAAUAGGAGAACAAUGUAAGGAAUAGGUCAUGGAAGAGAUGUAGGGAGGAAUCUGAGGAAGAAAAUCAUGGUAAGGGGAUUAUACAGAGAGCAUGAUACGUGGGGACAACAAUGGAAAAGAGACAGAGAGAUGAUUGAAAAAUAAGGGGAAAGUAAAUAGGGGCUGGUGGAAAGAUAUGGAUUGAGGAUUGCAGGACUAAGGAUACUGGUAAUGUGAAAUAUGUAAUGAUGGGGCUGUACAGAAUAUGGGCCAGUGUUUGUUAGUUUGUCUGUGUGUGAGUAUUGAGUUUAUGUAUAGGUCCGAGUGUGUGUUUGUGGAUAUGUGAGUCAGUGAUUGUGUGAGUCAGUGAGUGUGUCAAAAUGACAGUAUGUGAGUCAGUGAUGGCGUGGGUCAGUGAUUGUGUAAGUCAGUGAGUGUGUCAGAAUGACAAUGUGUGGGUCAGUGAUUGUGUGAGUCAGUGAGUGUGUCAGAAUGACAAUGUGUGGGUCAGUGAUUGUGUCAGAAUGACAGUAUGUGAUUCAGUGAUGGUGUGGGUCAACGAUGACGUGGGUCAGUGAUGGCGAGGGUCAGUGAUGGCGUGGGUCAGCGAUGGCCUGAGUCAGUGAUGGUGUCAGUAUGGCAGUGUGUGUGUCAGUGAUUGUGUCAGAAAGACAGUGUGUGGGUCAGUGAUGGUUUAGUCAGUGACUGUGUCAGAAUGGCAGUGUGUGAGCAGUGUGUGGGUCAGUGAUUGUGUAAGUCGGUGAUUGUGUCAGAAUGACAGUGUGUGGGUCAGUGAUUGUGUGAGUCGGUGAUUGUGUCAGAAUGACAGUAUGUGAGUCAGUUAUUGUGUCAGAAUGACAGUGUGUGAGUCAGUGAUUGUGCCAGAAUGACAGUAUGUGAGUCAGUGAUUGUAUGAGGCAGUGAUUGUGUCAGAUUGAUGGUGUGUGGGUCAGUGGUUGUGGGAGUCAAGAUGCAUUUUUUUACAAGCAUUGUUUAUAUAUGCAUAAUACACUCAAUUUGUAGAGAACAAACAUCUGAAUCACAUUACUUGAAAAAUACAGUGUUCUACACACACAUGUUGUACAUACAGACAGCACACACAUUACAUACAUACAGGCAGCAAACAUAUACGCAUUAAUACAGGCAGCACACACACACAAUACAUACAUACAGGCAGCACACAACACAAGCAGCCAGCACACACACUGUGACAAAGACUACACUCAGGGUAAUUCACUAAAAAAUUUUGCUAUGUAUUGUAAAAUUAAAAAAGCCUUUUUUUGUCCAUUCAGAUUUAAUUUGUGAAAAUGAAUUUAGCAAAUAGCCCGGUCAGUGUCCAUGGCUCUAGGCAAGGGCCCCCAAUCUUUGUAAUUGAUAUUAGCUUGUUGUCAAGUAGGUUGUCAUGACAGACCAGUAUAUUGGUCUACUACUUAAGUCUCUUGGACAAGUAGCUUUAAAAAAAUUAAAAAUCCACAACCCUGUAUAUGCAGUCACACACAAAUGCUCAAUACACAAAUGCAUUCACACUGACUAUACAAAAAGCACAUAUAGUCAUCCAGACAUGCACAAGUCCGUUCACGCAGACUCAAAUACAAACAUGCAUUGAUCCACAGGUCUUCACACUGUAUACAUCCAAAGGAAUACUGUAUUAUAUGAGAGUUAUAGUUAAAAUUUAUUUAAAGGGACACUAUAGUCACCUAAACAACUUUAGCUUAAUGAAGCAGUUUUGGUGUAUAGAACAUGCCCCUGCAGCCUCACUGCUCAAUCCUCUGCCAUUUAGGAGUUAAAUCCCUUUGUUUAUGAACCCUAGUCACACCUCACUGCAUGUGACUUGCACAGCCUUCCAUAAACACUUCCUGUAAAGAGAGCCCUAUUUAGGCUUUCCUUAUUGCAAGUUCUGUUUAAUUAAGAUUUUCUUAUCCUCUGCUAUGUUAAUAGCUUGCUAGACCCUGCAAGAGCCUCCUGUAUGUGAUUAAAGUUCAAUUUAGAGAUUGAGAUACAAUUAUUUAAGGUAAAUUACAUCUGUUUGAAAGUGAAACCAGUUUUCUUUUCAUGCAGGCUCUGUCAAUCAUAGCCAGGGGAGGUGUGGCUAGGGCUGCAUAAACAGAAACAAAGUGAUUUAACUCCUAAAUGACAGUGAAUUGAGCAGUGAAAUUGCAGGGGAAUGAUCUAUACACUAAAACUGCUUUAUUUAGCUAAAGUAAUUUAGGUGAUUAUAGUGUUCCUUUAAUGCACAUAUAUUUAGCCUUCAAAGGGCCUGGGAUCUAAUUUUGCCCGGGGGCCCUGAAGGCUCUCAGUCCGCCCCUGUGUGUGUGUGUGUGUGUGUGUGUGUGUCAGUGAGUGUGUGUUUGUGUAUCUGUCAGUGGGUGAGUGUAUGUCUGUCAGUAAGUGUGUGUGUGUGUAGGUGUGUGUGUCUGUCAGUGGGUGAGUGUAUGUCUGUCAGUAAGUGUGUGUGUGUGUGUAGGUGUGUGUGUCUGUCAGUGAGUGAGUGUAUAUCUAUUAGUGAGUUGCUGUGUGUGUGUGUGAGUGUGUGUGUGUGAGUGUGUCUGUCAGUUAGUGUUUGUCUGCGUGUCUGUCAGUGAAUGUGUGUGUGUGUGUGUCUCAGUGAGUGACUGACAUGAGGGAGUGGCAAAAUGGAUCUUUGCCUACGGCAGCAGAAUUUCUUGCACCGGCCCUGCGUAAUCCUAUACAAAUGAGUAUUCCUACNNNNNNNNNNNNNNNNNNNNNNNNNNNNNNNNNNNNNNNNNNNNNNNNNNNNNNNNNNNNNNNNNNNNNNNNNNNNNNNNNNNNNNNNNNNNNNNNNNNNGAGAAAGAGGGGGAAUAGAGAGAUGGGGAGGGGGAGAAAGAGACAGAGAGGGAAGAAUGAGACAGGGGGAAUAGAGAGAUGGGGAGGGGGGAGACAGAGAGGGAAGAAUGAGACACGGGGAGAAAGAGGGGGAAUAGAGGGAGGGGGGGAAAGAGACAGAGAGGGAAGAAUGAGACACGGGGAGAAAGAGGAGGAAUAGAGAGUUGGGGGAGAAAGAGAGGGAAGAAUGCCCCCCCUCCCCUGUCCGCAGGCACCGUGCGGGCAGGGGAGGAAGAGAGGACAUGGGAGCUCACCCUGCAGCUCCUCUGGGUCCUUCUUGCGCGAGCACAGAGCGUUGCCGCGGUUACCAUGGCAACGUUACUGCUCUUGCGAGAGUCAACUCUAGCCCUGGAGCUACGGGCUAGAGUUCACCCUCAACACUGUAACCCCCAUGGAUUCCUGGUGGUCGCAGUGGUGAGAGUGAACUCUAGCCCCAUAAACACACUGCCCCCACACACACACCAUACACAUUCACACACUGCCCCAUACACACCAUACACAUUUACACACAUUGCCUCACACACACACAUACACUGCCCACCCAUAUACACACAGACCCCCAUACACAGCCCCCCAUACUAACAUUGCCACACACAUACACUGCCCACACACCCCACACAUUCACACACUACACCCCCACACACACACUGAACCUUUCACACACAUUGCACCACUGCUCCUAUUCCCUACUACAGCCCCAUAUCCCAGCAGACCCCAGGUAAGUUGUCAAACUGUUCUUAAACAGUUUGACUACUUACUCUGGAGCAGUAGUGGUUAUUGUGCAUGGAUUAUUUCUUUAAAUAAUCUACAAGUGCCCCAGUAGCCAGCCAGCCAACCCACAGGCUGGCCAGUAGCCAGCCAGCCCACAGGCCAGUAGCCAGCCCACAGGCCUACAGCAAGCCACAGGCUUACAGCCAGCAAGCCCACAGACUGCCAGCCAGCAACAGUAAUUAAGGUAAGAGGAGCCAACUUGGCUUAGGUAUCAGCGAGCUAUGUUGUGUUGCUAUAUUGUGAAUAGGAACCAGAGUGUUGGAGAGACCACCCUCCAGGCCCCAUUAAACUCUAGCCUCUGCUAGAAAUCGCCUCCAUGGCCCAUUAGCCCUCAAUUGUAGUUUCUACUGGGGCCUGGAGGCGACUGUUUCCAGCAGGGGAUAUCUAAUGGACGCUGAGAUGGCCUCUGUUAGAAAGACCCCCUUCCAAGCCUUUUAGACUCCAUUGUAGUCUCUAAUGGGGCUUGGAGGGGAUUCUAUCUAACACACUCUCUAAAGGACACUGAGAUAGCCUCCGCUAGAAAGACCCCCCUCCAUGGCCCAUUAGCCCUCAAUUGUAGUCUCUGCUGGGGCCUCGAAGGGCUUAUUGCCCUUUUGUUCCUUGUGUCUAAAGAUUGUGUAGGGUGUGGCUGGAGGCGGUGCAUGGAGGCGGGACAAGGGUGGUGCUUGCUGCAGAGUAUGGGUGGGGCCUGUAAGGGGGCCCUUGAUUUAUUUUGCCCGGGGGCCCUGAGGGUUCUCAGUCCGCCCCUGUAUGCAUAAUACACUCAAUUUGUAGAGAACAAACAUCUGAAUCACAUUACUUGAAAAAUACAGUGUUCUACACACACAUGUUGUACAUACAGACAGCACACACAUUACAUACAUACAGGCAGCAAACAUAUACGCAUUAAUACAGGCAGCACACACACACAAUACAUACAUACAGGCAGCACACAACACAAGCAGCCAGCACACACACUGUGACAAAGACUACACUCAGGGUAAUUCACUAAAAAAUUUUGCUAUGUAUUGUAAAAUUAAAAAAGCCUUUUUUUGUCCAUUCAGAUUUAAUUUGUGAAAAUGAAUUUAGCAAAUAGCCCGGUCAGUGUCCAUGGCUCUAGGCAAGGGCCCCCAAUCUUUGUAAUUGAUAUUAGCUUGUUGUCAAGUAGGUUGUCAUGACAGACCAGUAUAUUGGUCUACUACUUAAGUCUCUUGGACAAGUAGCUUUAAAAAAAUUAAAAAUCCACAACCCUGUAUAUGCAGUCACACACAAAUGCUCAAUACACAAAUGCAUUCACACUGACUAUACAAAAAGCACAUAUAGUCAUCCAGACAUGCACAAGUCCGUUCACGCAGACUCAAAUACAAACAUGCAUUGAUCCACAGGUCUUCACACUGUAUACAUCCAAAGGAAUACUGUAUUAUAUGAGAGUUAUAGUUAAAAUUUAUUUAAAGGGACACUAUAGUCACCUAAACAACUUUAGCUUAAUGAAGCAGUUUUGGUGUAUAGAACAUGCCCCUGCAGCCUCACUGCUCAAUCCUCUGCCAUUUAGGAGUUAAAUCCCUUUGUUUAUGAACCCUAGUCACACCUCACUGCAUGUGACUUGCACAGCCUUCCAUAAACACUUCCUGUAAAGAGAGCCCUAUUUAGGCUUUCUUUAUUGCAAGUUCUGUUUAAUUAAGAUUUUCUUAUCCUCUGCUAUGUUAAUAGCUUGCUAGACCCUGCAAGAGCCUCCUGUAUGUGAUUAAAGUUCAAUUUAGAGAUUGAGAUACAAUUAUUUAAGGUAAAUUACAUCUGUUUGAAAGUGAAACCAGUUUUUUUUUUCAUGCAGGCUCUGUCAAUCAUAGCCAGGGGAGGUGUGGCUAGGGCUGCAUAAACAGAAACAAAGUGAUUUAACUCCUAAAUGACAGUGAAUUGAGCAGUGAAAUUGCAGGGGAAUGAUCUAUACACUAAAACUGCUUUAUUUAGCUAAAGUAAUUUAGGUGAUUAUAGUGUUCCUUUAAUGCACAUAUAUUUAGCCUUCAAAGGGCCUGGGAUCUAAUUUUGCCCGGGGGCCCUGAAGGCUCUCAGUCCGCCCCUGUGUGUGUGUGUGUGUGUGUGUGUGUGUCAGUGAGUGUGUGUUUGUGUAUCUGUCAGUGGGUGAGUGUAUGUCUGUCAGUAAGUGUGUGUGUGUGUAGGUGUGUGUGUCUGUCAGUGGGUGAGUGUAUGUCUGUCAGUAAGUGUGUGUGUGUGUGUAGGUGUGUGUGUCUGUCAGUGAGUGAGUGUAUAUCUAUUAGUGAGUUGCUGUGUGUGUGUGUGAGUGUGUGUGUGUGAGUGUGUCUGUCAGUUAGUGUUUGUCUGCGUGUCUGUCAGUGAAUGUGUGUGUGUGUGUGUCUCAGUGAGUGACUGACAUGAGGGAGUGGCAAAAUGGAUCUUUGCCUACGGCAGCAGAAUUUCUUGCACCGGCCCUGCGUAAUCCUAUACAAAUGAGUAUUCCUACUGCAUGAUGCUAUGUUUUUCUGGUGUUACAGCAAACACAGUACCUUUGCUCAUAAAAGUUAAAUGGAAAGGUAAAAGAGUGGUCAGGUCAAAGCUCUAUCAAGAGUGCACCACCCCCUUGUCAAACAAGACAAAUUGUAGGCAAUCACAAAGAUUAUGAGCUAGUGAAAUGAAAUGAUUGGUUGAAAAAAGGGCUUUUUUUUUUUUGGUUGUCUAAAGAUUGUGUGUACGGCUCCACAAAGCUCUUUGUAAUGAAGGAUUAAUGAGGAAUUAAAAAAUCAUCAGAUCUUUAAUAUUCCAAAGGAUUAGGGACAUCAAGUCCAACUAUGUUAUCAUAAAAAUAGGAGUAAUAGAAGUUUGCAGGUAUUUAAAUGGACUAUAGUGGACUCAAAGCUUGUGGAGAAGGCAAACAGAAUGUAAAAUGGACACUAGGUGGCAGCAUACCACUAUAAUUAAGACAGAUGAAGGCCUAGUAAAGGUGGAUUUACACAAUACACCAUGGGUAGGCAACCUUUAGUAGUACUGUGCCAAAACAAGACCUUAAAGUCCCCGGGUGUGCCGGUCCUAUUUUUUAUUUUUUAAAUUGAGGUGUAUAUGUUGCUAUAAUUUGCUUGUGUUGUUUAUGGUGCUGCAGUUUCUUUGUAUCAUUGUAUUUCUUCUUAUGUGGGCUGGUAUAUUGUAUAUGUUCAUACGUAGUUUGUGGUAUUGUGUAUGAUACCUAUAAAUGUAGGCUGUGUAUGGGGGCUGUUUGUGGAAUUGUGUGUGUGUGGAUGAUAUGUCAUAUUGUGUGUGUGAUGUGUGUAUAUGUGGGGCUGCUUGAGGUAGUGCAUGUGAGAGGCUGCUUGUGGAUUGCCAGUGGUGUAGUGUUUUGGGGGACUGUGUGUGUGUGUGUUUGUGUGUGGGUUCUUUGUAUUAUUUUGUAUGAGGGAAGGCUUAUUCGGCAGCUCUGUGGAUAUAUAGGUGUGUAAAUGGUUUCCUUGGGUUGGCUGGGGAUCAGACUUGCUAGGUACAGGUCAAGGGCAAGGAGCUGCGAUAACUGCUGCUGGCUGCUCUUCUCCAGUGUAUAUUUCCAUUCACAAGAGCUGCAAUGCAGAAAAUGAGAAUUGUCCUCUUUAUAGGCUAGAGCCUUUUUGGCUCUGGCAGGCUUGAGUGCUGUGCAAAGGCACCUUGAGUGCCAUAGAUGGCACACAUGCCAUAGAUUGCAGACUCUUGCAAUACACAUUUGUUUCUUUUUCCUUUUUCCUGUGCCUUGUUAACUACCAGCAAGACUAGAACACUUAUUUUAUGAUCAAGUUUAAUCCUUUAUUUGUGUGUAUUAAAGGGACACACAACAUAGUUACGCAGGGGUUAACAGAAAAUUAGACCACAGUGAAAUACUGUGAUCUGUAUUUUGACCACUGCAGACAGUGAUCAAAAGGCAGGAAGGGGGUUAAAUUUUAUUGGAAAGGGUUGAGGAGGGGUUGUGAUUUUAACUUACAUUUCUAUUUUUUUUUUACAGGUAGAAGCAUCUCCCUGCACUUCACACUAAACCCAGAGGAGCAGGGAGCCAGAUCAGGCCUGCAGCACAUGUGCUCGCUCUGACUGGCUGUCAGAGCGAUCACAUGUACAGGGACCGCAGGAUUGGCUGCUGCCUGUCUGCCUUGGACACCGAAGUAGCAUUAACCCCACGAUUGCCAUGCUCGUGGCGAUCUGGGGUUAAUCUUAGUAAAUUAUGGAUAUUUUCCCUCAUGCGUCCUUAAGCUUAGAACUGCAAUGACGGAAAAUUUCCGUCUUGCGUCGCAAACAGGUUCAGAGAUAAUCAUGUUUUUGAUGUGGAUGUUGUUUCUACACAAAGUUUUGAUGAAUUUACAUAUUUUAAUCCUAAUGAUAAUUUACCAGUUUUGUUUGCUCAUAGGAAAAUGCUUUAAUUAUAGAAAUAAAAUUGAGAGGUGGCUACCUUAAAUCAAUAUAUUACUGAAAAGAUCAUACCCAGAAGAUUGAUAAAUAUCCCUGUCUUCACAUACUGCUUAAGUUUGAGAAUACCUGUGAUCAUGGGCGGUGAUUAUACCGCUAUCGUUGUUUCCUCUAGAAAUAAUAUAUAGUCACCAGAACCACUACAGCUUAAUAUGAUGUGGAACUCUCUACUUGUCUAUACAAAAAAAGUGGAAAGAGGACCUACCAAUACAUUUAUAUGACCAACAAUGGCAGAAAAUGUUUAAACUCACUCAUUGCUUGACAGUUAACUCAAAAUUUCAAGAAGCUAGCUUUAAAUUACUCUCUUGAUGGUACCGCGCUCCCGCUAAAUUACAUAACUGCAACCCGACCAUACCUGAUACCUGUUGGAGAUGUGGACAUUUGGUUGCUCUGCCCACCGCUCUGCAUUUUUGGAAUUAGGUACUCCCUAAAAUCCUAUCCAUAACCAACCUCCAUAUCUCAUUGAGACCAGAGGAGAUCCUAUUAUUACACACUCCCAUAUCUUUCACCAAGAUCCUCAGGGCUUGUCUUCCCUUCCUGUUGCUAGCAGGCAAGGAUUUGAUACCACUUCAAUGGAAAUCAGCAUGUGCCCUCUCUAACAGAAUGGCAGAUUAGGAUAGAGGACAUUCGAUGUAUGGAAGAACUAUCUGCCUGUUCCCAAAACACACACACAUACUUUUGCAGCACUUGGCAACCCUCUGUGACUUUCCUUCCUUUGAACAUAGAGGAAAGACGAAGGGAGGACACAGAGACACAAUUCGCCUUAAGCGUUAAUGACAGACUCUCACUAAUAUACUAGAAAUUAUUUAUGGCUGUGAUAGAAGCUUACACUCCUAUGAUGAAUACAGCUCACCUUGAUCAUAUCACACCAUGUUGGACUUACUAUCAGUCUCCUGGUUACAUGUACAUGGUUUUACUGCUUAUGUUUUGUUAUGUUUUGUUUGACUUGAUUUAUGUUGAUCAUUUUCUUCACCAUGACAUUCUAGGAAAUAGUGUAUUUACUUAAAUCUAAUGCGCACUUUUUUUUGGAAAAUAAAGUUUCUAAAAUUUGAAUGCGCAUUAGUUUCGAUGGCAAAUUCACACAGCGAGUUAAAACUGGUGAAUUCACACAGACAAAUUUCACCACUGAAAAAGGGCUUAAGAAAUAUACUAUGGUAUAUAACAGGGAUAGGCAACCUUCUGCACUCCAGAUGUUGUGGACUAUAUCCAUCCCCCAUAAUGCUCUUACACCCAUAAUGAUGGCAAAGCAUCAUGGGGGGGCUAGUCCAAAACAUCUGGAGUGCCAAAGGUUGCCUUUGCCUUGUAUAUAACCAUUAAAAAUUUUAAUUGUAUCUCAAUGUUUUAUAGUAGUAUCUUCUUGUAUAAAUGCACAUUACAUUCACCAGCAAAAAAAAUUUCAGCUUCCAGGUGCGCAUUAGAUUUGAUGGCGCAUUAGAUUCGAGUAAAUACGGUAUAUUUUUUAUUUUUGAAACAAUUCUGAACAGACCAAUAGAAACAUAGAAACAUAGAAUGUGACGGCAGAUAAGAACCAUUCGGCCCAUCUAGUCUGCCCAAUUUUCGAAAUACUUUCAGUCCCUAGCCUUAUCUUAUAGUUAGGAUAGCCUUAUGCCUAUCCCACGCAUGCUUAAACUCCUUUACUGUGUUAACCUCUACCACUUCAGCUGGAAGGUUAUUCCAUGCAUCCACUACCCUCUCAGUAAAGUAAUACUUCCUGAUAUUAUUUUUAAACCUUUGUCCCUCUAAUUUAAGACUAUGUCCUCUUGUUGUGGUAGUUUUUCUUCUUUUAAAUAUAGUCUCCUCCUUUACUGUGUUGAUUCCCUUUAUAUAUUUAAAUGUUUCUAUCAUAUCCCCCCUGUCUCGUCUUUCCUCCAAGCUAUACAUGUUAAGAUCCUUUAACCUUUCCUGGUAAGUUUUAUCCCGCAAUCCAUGAACCAGUUUAGUAGCCCUUCUCUGAACCCUCUCUAAGGUAUCAAUAUCCUUCUGAAGAUACGGUCUCCAGUACUGUGUACAAUACUCCAAGUGAGGUCUCACCAGUGUUCUGUACAAUGGCAUGAGCACUUCCCUCUUUCUACUGCUAAUACCUCUCCCUAUACAACCAAGCAUUCUGCUAGCAUUUCCUGCUGCUCUAUUACAUUGUCUGCCUACAUUUAAGUCAUCAGAAAUAAUCACCCCUAAAUCCCUUUCCUCAUAUGUCGAGGUUAGGACUCUAUCAAAUAUUCUGUACUCUGCCCUUGGUUUUUACGUCCAAGAUGCAUUAUCUUGCACUUAUCCACAUUAAAUGUAAGUUGCCACAAUUCUGACCAUUUUUCUAGUUUACCUAAAUCAUUUGCCAUUUGGCUUAUCCCUCCUGGAACAUCAACCCUGUUACAUAUCUUAGUAUCAUCAGCAAAAAGACAUACCUUACCAUCAAGACCUUCUGCAAUAUCACUAAUAAAAAUAUUAAAGAGAAUGGGUCCAAGUACAGAUCCCUGAGGUACCCCACUGGUGACAAGUCCAAGCUUCGAAUAUAUUCCAUUAACUACAACCCUCUGUUGCCUGUCACUCAGCCACUGCCUUACCCAUUCAACAAUAUUGGAAUCCAAACUUAAAGAUUGCAGUUUAUUGAUAAGCCUUCUAUGUGCAACAGUGUCAAAAGCCUUACUGAAAUCUAGGUAAGCAAUGUCCACUGCACCCAGGGCCGUCUUUAAGGAGGGGCAAACGGGGCAGCUGCCCUGGGCCCAGUUACUCAUGGGGGGCCCAAAGCAGCUGCCCCGUGGGCCCCUUCGCCUGCAAUAAAAAUGUAUUUUUUUAAAAUAUUUCCCUACCUAAUGGGCCCGCGGUGCUAGUAUUGCGGCUGCAUACCUUUAGGGCCACCCAGUGAGCAUGUUCCAGCAGGGGUUCGGUCGGCGCUGUGGCCCUUUAACAGCGCGACCGGGUCCUUGCUUAACGGCUGCAUGGGAGGAAGUGAUGUCCGCGAAUCACUUCCUCCCACCUCAAAGACAUCGGGCCGCCCGGGCGGCUGCUGAGCCAGCAUCCAGUGAGGAGGGGGAGCAAGAAGAGCCAUACCCCCAACUCCCAACUACCCCAGCCAGCACACUGGACCCCAGGGAAGGAAGCCUCUUUCAAAGGUAGGAAACUGAAGAGUGUCUGUCUGUGUGUGUGUCAGUUUGUAUGUCUGUCUGUGUGUCAGUAUGUCUGUGUGUGUGUCAGUAUGUAUGUGUCAGUCAGUAUAUGUCUGUGUGUCAGUUUGUAUGUCUAUGUGUGUGUCAGUAUGUAUGUCUGUGUGUAUGUCAGUAUGUCUGUGUGUGUCAGUUUGUGUGUCUGUAUGUAUGUCGGUGUGCCAGUCAGUAUGUCUGUGUAUGUGUCAUUAUGUCUGUCUGUCACAGUGUCAGUAUGUCUGUCACAGUGUCUGUAUGUGUGUGUGUGUGUGUCGGUGUGUGUCGGUGUGUAUCUGUAUGUUGUCAGUAUGUAUGUAUCUGUGUGUGUGUGCCAGUGUGUAUACCUGUGCAUGUAUCUGUAUGUAACCAAUGUGUGUAUCUGCAUGUGUGUCAGUGUUUGUAUCUGAAUUUGUCAGGUUAUGUAUCUGUGUGUUGUCAUUGUGUGUGUCUGUGUAUCUGUAUGUUGUCAGUGUAUCUGCGUGUGUGUGCAUCUGUGUGUCUGCAUGUAUGCCAGGUUGUGUGUCUGUAUGUGUGUGUGUCAGUGUGUGUAAAUGUGUCUGUAUAGCUGCAUCUGUAUGAUUGUGUAUAUCUGUGUAUCUGCAAGUGUUUCUGUGUGUGUAUGUGUAUCACAGUGUGUGUGUGUGUGUGUGUUUGUGACAGUGCAUGUGUAUUUGUGCAUACAUCUCAGCAUUCAACACUACACGCAAAUACACACCUGCAUUCAAACUUCAACACUACAUAUAAACACACCUCUUUUUUUAAACAACAAAAUUAUAUAUAAACACACCAGUGUAUUCAUAAACCAACACUACACAUAAAUGCAUACUUGCAUUUAAAUGCCAUCUCCACAUACAAACACACCCCUACAUUCACACAAACAUACUCCAUCCAAAAACAUGCUUACACUCAAACACACAAAUACUGCUCAGUGCUAAAUAUAACCCUGCAUGCAUGGGAAAAUGGUAGCGCCCCAGCUGUCAAAGCAUUUUUGGAGUUGCAUGACAGAUGGGGAUCUACCUUUUGCUCCCUCUUGCCCAAAAUAAUUCAUGCACCAGAGCCCUCUCUACUUUACGUCCGCCUCUGCGUUGGGGUGGGGGGGCAUGAUUGCAUGCCAGGGAGGGGACGACCGGGUUCAGGGGGCCCAAGCGAAUGUUUGCCCAGGGUCCAAUCCAUAUUAAAGACGGCCCUGACUGCACCACCCUGAUCUAUAAUUUUAGUUACCCAAUCAAAAAAAUCAAUAAGAUUAGUUUGGCAUGAUCUCCCUGAAGUAAACCCAUGUUGUCUCUGAUCUUGAAAUCCAUGUGUUUUAGAUGUUCAUCAAUCCUAUCCUUUAACAUGGUUUCCAUCACUUUCCCCACUACUGAAGUAAGGCUUACUGGCCUAUAGUUGCCCGACUCCUCCCUAUUACCUUUCUUGUAAAUGGGCACAACAUUCGCUAACUUCCAAUCUUCUGGGACUACUCCUGUUAACAAUGAUUGGUUAAAUAAAUCUGUUAGUGGUUUUGCUAGUACACCACUAAGCUCUUUUAAUAGCUUUGGGUGUAUUCCAUCAGGUCCCAUUGACUUAUUUGUCUUUACUUUUGACAUGGCCCAGGUGAGCUGAAGAGGACGGAGGGGGACUCCCACGUGAGUCCCCAUACGGCGAUCGCCAGCGUGGGAUCGCCGGUUACCGGGUAAGUACAUAAGAUUGCGGGGACGUACUAUGCCGCCCUGCGGCUUUUAGAGCCAUCAAAAUAGGGACGGCAUAGAACGCCCUGCAUAGCCAUCCAAGGCAUUGCCAGCAGGGGGAGUGUCUGUAAUGACAGGUACUCCCCCUGCUGUCUGAAAAUAAAAUAAAUAAAUGUUAAAACAGUGUAAAAUUAAAUAAUAUAUACUUAGAUCACAUAUAUAUUAUAUGUAUGAUCUAAGUAUAUAUACACACAUAUACACACAUAGACAUACAUAGUCUAAGUGUAUUUUAAUAUUAAUAUAUACAUAAUUAUACAUAUAUAUAUUAAUAUCAAAAUACACAUACAAUGACAUUGAUUAAAUAUAUAUAUAUAAUUUUCAUUAUAUAUAUUUCUAUAUAAUAAAAAAUAAAUAAAUAUGUAAAUACGUUAAAAAAUAAAAUAAAAAAAAUAAAAAAUAAAUAAAUUAAAAAUAUAUAUACAUGUGUAAUUUCCUUCUAACUGUAUUUUAAAAUUAAUAUAUAUAUAUUGAUAUCAAAAUACAUGUAGAACGAAUAAUAAUAUAUAUAUCUAUGUACAUAAGUAUAUACGCAUAUAUCACUAUAUAUAUACCUAUAUAUAAAUAAAAAUUAUUUUAAAAAAUUAUAUACAUAUAUAUAUAUAUAUAUAUAUAUAUACGCAUAUAUAUAUAUAUAUAUAUAUAUAUAUACACACACAUAUAUAUAUAAUAAUUCUAUGUAUAUAUUUAUGUAAUAAUUUUACAUAAUUAGGUCAUUUUAUUAAUUACAAUUUGCAGGACCUGCCUGACAACCCAGGCCAAAAGUUCAGGGAAUUUAAUUUGCUAGCACUAUAUUUAACCCUAUAACUUUCCAAGACACCAUAAAACCUGUACAUGGGGGGUACUGUUUUAAUCGGAAGAUUUCACUGAACACAAAAAUUAGUGUUUCGAAACAGUAAAAUGUAUUACAAUGACUAUAUCGUCAGUGACAGUGACAUUUUUUGCAUUUUUCACACACAAAUGUCACUUACACUGCCAAUAUAAUUGUUGUGAUACGUUUUACUGUUUUGAAACAAUAAUAGUUCAAAUUAGUUUUUUUGCAUUUUCAAAUAUUAACACUAACUUGCCCAGUGUUUGUGACCAAGUGGCUUCUAAAAAAGACUGGACAUACCCCAUUUGCAAUACCUUUGGUUGUCUACUUUUGCAAAUAGUAUGCAAUCAUGGGGGUAAUUCUUGUUCCUGGGCUACCAUAUGGUCUCAAAGGCAACGUAACCAAUCUGGCAAAUUUUAAUGUGAAAAAACUGAAAAAUGUAACAUGCUAUAUUUGACCCUGUAACUUCCCAAAACACCAUAUAACCUGUACAUAGGGGGUACUGUUUUACACGAGACAUCGCUGAAUACAAAUAUGUGUAUUUUAUUGCAGUAAAAGCAAACAGUGUUUUGACAUUCACAGUUAAAAUGUCAUGUAGAACUAAGAAAAUUUUAAAAAAUAUUAUUUUCUCCCAUUUUUUUAUAUUUUAUUCAUAUUAAAUUAUGUUCCAUACCUAAAUAUUUGAUGUUAAAUGAAAGCCCUGUUUCCCCUGAAUAAAAUGAUAUAUAAUAAGUGUGGGUGCAUUUAAUAUGAAAGAGGUGAAUUACAGUUGGACAGACAUGCAGCGCAAAUGCCAGGUUUUGUUUACGUUUUGUUUUGAUCACAACAUUUGGCUGCGGUCUUAAGCGGUUAAGAAUCAGGGUAUGGGGGAUUUGGGUGGGAAGGAUUGGGGAGUUUAAUAGUAUAUAAAUAAUGAAAAAAAAUGUAAAAACUGCUGCUGCCAUCUUCACCUAGUGGCAUGGGAGAGCACUAGAUCUCAGCGCGAUCGGGCCCCCUGUGAUGACGUCAGCCGCUGGGAGGAAGAGAGGAGGGAGUCAGAGUAGGGACUCCUAUCAGGCUGAGCUACGACUGGACAUCAGGGAAAGUCACCCUCCUGCACCUAAAAGGUAGGAAACAGGAGGGUGACUAAAAUAUUUUGUACAUGUGUGUGAUUGUUUGCAUGUACGUGUAUGUGUCUGUAUGAAUGUGUGUCUGUAUGAAUGUUUCUCUGUAUGUGUGUCUGUAUGUAUCUGUGUGUGUGUGUGUAUGUGUGUAUGUAUGUGUGUGUGUGUUUGUUUGUAUAUAUGUAUGUAUGUAUGUGUGUGUGUAUAUGUGUGUGUGUGUGUGUGUGUCUGUAUAUAUGUCAGUCUGUGUGUUUGUAUGUGUGUCCGUAUGUAUGUGUGUAUGUGUGUCUGUGUAUGUGUGCGUUUGUAUGUAUGUGUGUGGGUGUAUAUAUAUGUCUCUGUGUGUGUGUGUGUGUGUGUGUGUUUGUCUGUAUGAGUGUGUAUGUGUGUGCCUCUGUAUAUGUGUGUCUAUGUGUGUGUCUGCAUGUGUGGGGGGGCAACGUAUAGAAGGUGGAGGGCAGACGUAUGGGAGGAGUAGCGUGGGGUAGAAGUAUGGGGGUUCGCAGGACAAUUUUCGUAUUAGGGCCCUGUGCUACGAACUGGCCAAAUACACCACCCAACACUGGAUCAAUCAGUAAAGGUAAUAUUUUGCUCCUAAUGUGGAAAUGGUCAUGAUGUUAUAAUGAGGUCCUGUGGUUGCUACAAAUGAAACAAGAACAGGUACUUUCUCUUUCCCACGUGGAACAUAGCAAAUACAUUUAACCACAGUUAAUCCUCAAUUGCACUUGUUUAUUUAAUUUUAGUUGCAUCAUUGUGAUAAAGCAAUUGGCAUUUGAUUUGUAUGGUGCUGAUAUACUUUUUGUAUGGUGCACUUAAUGUUUUAUUGUAUGCAAUAAAUUCAUUUGUUUAAUGUCUGUAAGUUGGCAAGUAACAAAGUUUGAUAACAAGAUUCCAGUAUAGUUUUCACACAUAUAUCCAUGAUGUGGCAUUUUAGCCAUGUGGCACGUGGCAACAUAAUACAAAUUAACUUAAUACAAAUAAAACAUUUCAAUUUAUUAUUGGUGCAUUUGUAUGAAUGUACUUUUGUAUGUAAUUUCAUAGUGUAAAUGCAGGGGUGCAUGUGUGAGCUGUCUCUGGGUGCAAAUACAGGGGUAUAUUUGUGUAGAAUCUUACUGUAUAAACAAAAAGAUGUAUGUCAGUGGAAUGUCAAUGUGUGCAUGCAGGGGUGUAUUUGUGUAGAAUAGCGCUGUGCAAAUGCAGGGAGUGUCAUUAUGUAAAUGCAGGGGUGUAUAUGAGUGGAUGUAAAUGCAAAGGUGUAUUGAGUGGAGUGUCAGUAUGUAAAUAAAGGGGUGUAUUUGUAGGGAAUGUCAGUGUGUGAAUGCAUUUAUGCUCCAUCUCCCUAUUCUUUUCCCCCCAAAUAAUGAGUAUUUAUUUUCCCUUCCAUGCUACUUCCCUAUCCAAUUGAUUUCUUACAUAUUAGAUCCUUUCCCACUUGGUUACUGAGUUUCUGAAUUCUAAGUACCUCCAUUUGGUCAGCCUCCUCGGUGCUACCAGGGGGCUCUGGAGUACUUCAGACCCAGUUGCCAGAACUACAGUGGUUAUAGCUAUUUUCCUCUUGAUGCCUUCUCUCCUGUUCAGAAGCAGUGUUUAUAGACUUUUCCCCCUACACAUUAGUCAAGACUAAAUGUAGAGGGUAGAAUGAAACCUUUAUAGCACACAUAUCUAUUUAUACAGAUAAAAUGUGGAUUUGACUUCUAGGGAGUCCUCCACACAAUACAAUGGCAAGUACAGUAAUCCCCUCCCUAGCCCACUCUGUCUGGGGUCUUAAUUGUGUUAGUCCCAGCUAUCAAGAGGGACUUCAUCCCAGACUUAGAGGCAAGAAGUACACAAAGUCCCCCAGAACUAAUUUUCCCUGGACAGCACCCUACACAUCAUAUGUCCCUGUCCAAAUUGAACCCUGAUCGGAGCAAACGAGCUGCAACUAUUCUCUGAUCCAGUGAGAAGUUCCAUGCUUGCAGCUGCUUUAUGUCCCGGUUUUACAAAAAGGGGUUCCUAGAUCUCUGGGAAGAUGAGUGAUUUCAAGUCCUAGAUACCUCAUCACCUCCUCAACAUCCUCUCCAAAUAGCACUGUUAUUGGUGGUCAGGGGACUUUGCAACAUCCAACCAAAGGUUCACUAGACUGUCACACAGUUCCAAUCCGGUGAACAUUACCACAGCGAUUCAUGAUGCCUCCUGAUCAGGCAUUCAGUAAGUAGAAUGAACCCCAAGGAUUUUAAGAGGCCCCAAUUCUUGGAGUAGACAAUGUAUCCAGCCAUAACCCCUCCCUACAAUAGCCUCGUACUUGAUUCUUUUUGUGGCCCUUGGGACCGGGUCCAUAGUCCAUGGUAGGAGGAUGGCCUAAAAGCCGCUCCACAAGACACGGGCACAGAGGCUUCCAUCACAACUACCAUCUAGUUGUGCAAAAAAAAUGCAUGGAGCUGGGCAUUAGUACAUUUUAAACUCCGCACACGCCAUCAACAGAUGUGUCUAGAACUUACCUGCUGGUGGCAACUCUGAUCUCCAAGCUUUCAUAGCUUUACCUGCUUCACUAAACUUGGCAGAUGGAUUAUGACAAUGCUCAAAACCUCCUGGCAUCAUAGCGAUAGCAUUAAGAAGGCGUCAUUAUGGUGCCUGGAGACUGGAGUGUUCUUUUAAGAAUUGUAUUAUUCGCUUAUCACAGCCCUGAAGUCAAUGUAUAUGUGGUACAUUUUCAGUUGUGGUUUGAAGUUCUCAAUAAUGAAACCUGAAGGAAAUAUGACUUGUCUGCAUUUACUCAGACUUUGAUAAUAUACAAUUAUGUUUUUUGUGAUUAUAGCAGAUACAUAUUUUUUGCAGGUAUCAGGUAAGAUUUUCUAGGCUUAUGAAAAAUAAAAAGUAUUUGUGUGUAGCAGUUGUUUAUGGUUUUUUUUUUCAUUAACCAUUAAAAAUACAUUGUAAGUCUUAUAUUUUUCCUAUCUAAUUAAAUGAUAUCUAAUGUGUCAAGAUUGUGUGACUUUGAAUUUUAUUGUAUACAUAGUGUGUAAAAAUUGAAAUGUCCGCUUUUUUUCUUUAAUUUUAAUAAUAUAAUUAGCACAAUAGCUACAAGAUCAUUGGUCUCUUUGUUCUGUCUGUUCUUUUUUUUCUUCUUAUCAUGACUUUGUCUUCUUCAGCAAUUCCUGGUGGUAGAGAAAAUAUCAGUCCCGACCGACCUGAUGUUCUAAAGGCCGUUGACUUUGCCAUGAUGGAGUUCAAUAGAAAAUCAAAUGAUGACUACCUCUUCAAGGUUAUAAAGGUUCUAACUGCUAAAUCCCAGGUAAGAAAUAUAUGGGGUAAUUCACUGAAAAGGAAAUACAAAUCAUUGACCAACGAAUUUCAAAUUCUAGGUCGAUAUAACUGAGUUUGGAAAGUUGCUGAUAUAGAUGACUAUUUUAGCUGUUUGAACUUACAUUUUGCAGUUGUCUUGUCAAUUCUUCACCAUUUCUAGUCUAGUGCACAAAAUUCAUCAAAUAAAAUUUUGCACCACAAAUUACUGUUAACAAAUCCUGUUUUCACCUGCAGUUCAUUAUAAAAAUAUAUAUAUUAUUUUAUACUGUUAUCUUGAUUUUUUUUUUCUUUUUAACAUUUUGCCUAGACUGUUCAAGGACUACUUUAUUUCUUGGAAGUUGAAAUUGGAAGGACACAAUGC